rnacentral:lncRNA from 1 species
ACCGAAAUCGAUAUGGACAUCAGUACUCUAAUGGGUUUCGAUUCGCCGCUUUUGCACAACCUCCACCACAUCCUUACAGCCACCGACGACACCACCACCAACAACAAAUCAAGCAAUGCCGGACCUACUGGCGCUUACGUCCGUGACGCUAGAGCAAUGGCUGCAACUCCGGCUGAUGUGAAGGAGUAUCCCAACUCUUACGUCUUCAUCGUCGACAUGCCUGGUCUGAAGUCCGGAGAUAUCAAGGUCCAGGUGGAGGAAGACAACGUGUUGGUGAUAAGUGGAGAGAGAAAAAGGGAACACGAUCAGGAAGAGAAGGAAGGAGUUAAGUACGUGAGAAUGGAAAGGAGGAUCGGGAAGUUUAUGAGGAAGUUUGUGUUGCCGGAGAAUGCUAAUAUGGAGAAGAUAUCGGCGAUUUGUCAAGAUGGAGUGCUUACAGUGACGGUGGAGAAACUGCCACCUCCGGAGCCAAAGAAGCCGAAGACGAUUCAGGUCCAGGUUGCUUGAAGAACAGAAUCUACUUUAUGUUGUUUUGCUCUGUUUUUGUAAUGGUUUGCUCUUUUGCUCUGUUUGAUCUCGUAGUUAUAAUCAAUCUACUGUUGUUGGUUUUUAAAGUCAAUAUUUGGUCGUUUUGUUGUACUUCGGUUUGUAACAAUUUAAAUGUGAAAUUAAAAUGGUUUCUUUGUAAUUAUGUGUGUGUCAGUUUUGUGCCCCAAUUUGCAGAAAUAAAUUUUAUAUACGAAGUAAUGGCAUGGACACGUUCGUUAUAUUAAACACAUAAAACGAAUGGAAUCGAAAAUCGGAUUAAAAAUUAUUUUAACUGUAUUUAAAUGCUUUUAAAAUUAAAUUAAGUGAGUUACUAUUUAAACUAGUAGAAAACUCGUGAUUGGCAAAGUGACUGAUUUUUUUUUGUAUAACCAUAUAAAAUCACUUCGACCAUUGUUAUACCAACCGUGUAAUAUCACAUUCUCUGUUACUAACAUACAAUACCUACUAUUAAUAUAUCAAUCCAUAUCAUUAUUUUUAUUUUUUUAAAUUUAAAAAUACAAUAAAAUUACAUUUUUAAUAAUUAAAAAAAAAUCAUUUUUAACUAGUUUUUCAUUAAUUAUAAAAAUAAAAUUAUAACUUCAAACUACUUUACUUAAUUAAUCUAGAAAUAAAAAAAAAAAAAAACAUUACACAAAUUAAAAAAAAACAAACAUACAUACAAAAAAACUAAUAUUUGUAUAUUUUAUGUUGGUACAAAUAUUCUACGACAUCUUCUCGAAGAUUGAAACACAUUUCAUUGUUAUGAAUUUCAACAACUCGUUCUAAAAACUCAUUCGUUCCAGGUACGAACUCAUCAAUCAGAAUGACAACUUCGUUCGGAUCAUACGUGUAAAUCGUUCGACCUUCAUCUUCAAUAAUCAUAUUAUGCAUUAUAAUACAUGCUAGGACCAUUUGUUUGAUUCUUUCUUUAUCUCAGAGUCGUGUAGCAUAUUCACCACAUGUCAUGUCUGCCUGAUGACUCCAAAUGUCCUUUUGAUAUCCUUUCUCGCCGAUUCCUGUUUUUCUGUAAACAAUUUUGCCUUUUCACUUUGAGAAACCGAGUAUGCCUUCAUUAAUAUAAAAUAAUUCGGGUAUAUCCCAUCACCAAGGUAGUAACCGUAUUUGUACGCGUGUUCGUUUACCGUAAACGUCAUAUCAGAUGCUUUGUUAGUCCAAAUAUCGUUGAAAAUAGGAUAUUGGCCAAGAACAUUAAUGUCGUUGUUAGACCCCGCUACUCCGAAGAAGGCAUGCCAUAUCUAUAAAUGUUGAGAUGCAACAGCUUCUAGGAUGAUAUUUGGUUUACCUAUAUCUCUUCGAGUGAACUAACCACGCCAUUCAUUUGGACAUUUUUCCCAAGCCACAUGCGUACAAUCUAGACUGCCAAGCAUACCUGAAAAUCUAUGCCUCUCUUCAUGAGCUGAAUAUAAUCUCUCAAUAUCAAGUUGACUAGGUUUGUGCAAAUAUUGUUCGUGAAAAACUUCAUAGACGCAUGCAGAAAACCAAUCUACACAUUCAACUGCAGUCCUUUCGGAGACUUUCAAGUAUUCGUCCGAUGCAUCAAAUGUUAUACCGUAUCCCAAAUACCUAAGAGGAGCCGCACAUUUUUGUAUACUACUAAAACCCAUUCUUCCUCUAACGUCGGGUUUUUGUUUGAAAAAAUCAUAGCGAGAUUCUAAAGCAUUACUAAUACGUAAAAAUAUAGCCUUAUUCGGACAGAAACGACGUUCGAACGAGUCAUCAUUAUAAAGAUAAUUAUCGGCAAAGUAAUCACAUACCAAUAAGUCGUGUGCGGCUUGGCGAUCACGAUUGACGACCGCUCUUGUACAAGCAACAUUCGAACUUUCUUCGUUGUGAAUGUGUUGAACAAUAUUGAAGAAUGUCUCGACAAAUUCUAUAUUGUCAUCUGAGUCAAAAGUUUUUAAGAAUUCCAUGUGUUUUGUGGAAUCCAUGUGCAUGUGCUUUGUAGUUUUAGAGAAUGAAGGUUUUAGAGAAUGAAGGUGUAAGAUUUGGUGAAAAUGGAAGGUUUUAAUUAUAUGUAUUAAAUUGAGUUUGAAAAAAAAAUACCAAAUAGUCGUUCAACGAUCGAGAAAGCGAUACACCAAUCAAGUUUUGCGUUUAAAAUCGCCGUCGGCAACAUGAUGCCUAACGACCAUACCCGGCCACGAUUUGUCGGGGUGCUGUGCAUGGAUAUUUCUCGUGGCCACAUGGACCACGGAUGCUCUCGUUGAGAGUAUACCAUAUGGCCUUAGUUCAAAAGAUAAAACAAAGGGAUAAUGACUUAAAAUGGUAAUACAUUUUUCUAUUUGUAUACAUUUGGUCACUGAGUUUUUUUUUCCUUCCACAUUACCCUUUCAACUUGUUAAAUUGUAUACAAUUAGUCCUUAUGACCGGCUACUCCAGGUCAGCCGGUAAAAAUGACUUAAUAGGGUAAUACAUUUCUCAUUUUGUAUACAUUUAGUCCUUAAUAUUUUUGUACAUAUUUAAUAUUUUUUUUGGUGCAAAAUAAGUCAAUUUUGUUUUUUAUAUUAAUUUAGUAUUUAUGAAUGAUUUCUUUAGGUUUUUCUCACGAAAUCUUACAUGGGACAGUCAUUAAUGAGAUGUUUUGGGGCUUUUGAUGCUUAUGUCCAUCGCGAUCUCAACUACUUGGUUACUUAGAUCAUUUGUUCUAAACGUCAUCACUUCUUCAUACGAUCUCGGUUUUUAAUGAUCUUUAUAUCCAUGUGUUUGUAUUUUAGUCUACUACACCUUUCCUUUAGAUUACUCUCGUUAAAGUAAUAUAUUUUUUACUUAUAAUCUUUAUAUCAAUACGUUUUUUAUGAAUACAUGUAUGGAUGUUUUUUUAUAAAAUCGUAAGUAAAAAUAUAUUACAUUUUAACGGGAGUAAUCUUAAUGAAAGUUAUAAUAGACUCAAAAAAACGAACAUGUGAAUAUAAAGAUCGUUAAAAUAUGAUAUCGUGUGAAGAAGUUACGACGUUGAGAACACAAGACCUACGCAACCAAGAAGUCAAGAUCGCGAUAAACAUAAGCAUCAACAACACCAAACACCUCAUCAAUGAUUAUCACACGUAAGAUGUCAUGAGAAAAACCUAAAUAAAUCAUUCAUAAGUACUGAAUGAGUACAAAAACAAACAUGACUUAUUUUGAAACAAAAAAUAUCAAGGACUAAAUGUGUACAAAAAUAUUAAGAACUAAAUAUGUACAAAAUGAAAAAUAUAUUACCCUAUUAAGUCGUUUUUCUUGACUAACCUAGAGUAACUGAUCAUAAGGACUGAAUGUGUCCAAUUUAACAAGUUGAAGGAGGUAAUAUAGACGAAAAAAACUCAGUGACAAAAUGUAUACAAAUCGAAAAAUAUAUUACCCUUUUAAGUCAUUAUUGAUGGGUUUUAAGCAUAAGAACAAUCAUAUGUGCUCAUACAAACCCUAAUGCUUGGAUCUAGAUUUCUCUAUUGUACAUGCUUUGAAUCCAAGACUUACAAACCUAGAUCUAUCAUAUAUAAUUCAAAUUAUCAUAAGGAAAAGCAUAUCUAAGUGAUUUACCUUUUUCAAGUAGCUUGAAUCCUUGCAAUCUUCUUGAUCUUGAGCUUAGAGUCACAAUUGUAACUCAUCUAAUGGUUCACAAACCCCACAAGCAAGAAGGCAAUAUGAGAGAGGGUGAGAGAUGCUAGAAAUCGGCCCUAGGGUUCUCUUAGAAGCAGGUGUAGCCGAUUUCCAUAACCUGGGGUCUUAUUUAUACUUGCAGGCUGCUAGGGUUUCAGUCUAAACCCUAAUGGACAACUUAGCCACCAAGCAGCCCAAGGAACCUUCUGGAAUAAGGCCUUGGACGAAAAUAUGAUGGAUCCCCAUCAUAAUUUCGUUCCCCCUUUAGUCCAUUAGGUUUCCUUAACCCAAAACUCAACUAUCACACAUUUGACAGUUUAUACCCCUUUAUUUAAUUAAUCUCUUUUAGUCAUCAAAUUAAUUCCUAAUUAAUUUAUGACCAAUACUAAUUAAAUAAAUCUGAUUUCUCCUUUAAUAUAUUAUUCUAAUAAUAUAUUAAUAAACCAUAAUAUUUUCUCUCUCUCUCUCUCUCUCUCUCUCUCUCUCUCUCCUUAAAUUACCUUGUCAAGUUGCUUUGGUGAAGGCAACCCAAAAGGACCAUGCACAACCGGGUCAAGUACAUACCAAAUAUAGUUACGGGCUUAGACACUAAUCCAAUAGUCUCCCAUUUGGAUAAGUCUAGUAACUAUAAUGUAAGUAAAUUCCGAUUAGCAAUCGUAGCUCUCAAAGACGUUGUCGCAAUCUGAUCUUAUCAGUAACCUGUCCUUUAGAUAAGUGAUUGUACAGUCCUCUAUUCUAGAUAUCGUGUGGACAAUCACAGAGAACAUAGUCAUACUUAUUGUCCAGCAGUUUGUUUUUCUCGAUCUCAGAUUCAUUUGACAUAGAACUUAAUUGAACACAUCAAUUCAGUCCUGACAGGGCCCGACACAUAAGUCAAAUCAAAUCAUCGAGGGGCCCUGAUAUCGCUUUUACCCUCUUAGGAUAAAAGGAACAUAUAAACUUCGACUUAUAUGCAUUUACUAUUCACUAAUCAAAUCAUACACAACAAUGCGUUUUAUAACAUCAAGUUACUGAUGCGUUUUCGCAUUAUCAAUGCACAACCAAUCAGCAAACAAUAAACCAUAUAUCUAGGUUUUAAGACCAUAUGAUAUUAUCGUCUUGCGAUCACUCGUGAUAAAUUCCAUGAACUGAUUCCAGCAAGCGCGGGUUUAUUCCAAUGUUCAAAACUUGUUCAUAAGCACUCAUGAAUGUUGUAGCAAACCUUUGCUAUGUCUAAUACCUUUUAGACAAUCUACACACCUAUUCAUGACAGUCUUCAUUCAUAUCUACUUCCAACAUAUGAACGACUGUGGACCAUUCAAAUAAUUCAAUUAUUCUUAAUAACUCAAUUAUUCAGGAAGUCAAAACAUGCAAAGUGAAACAAUAGUUAAACAAUUAACAUAAGACAUUAGUUUUACUUAUAAAUAAUACUCCUUUAUUUAACCAUCAAAUGUCAAUUACAUUUAUCUAUUACAUGUUUCCAAACUAUCUAAUCUAAACUAAUGUCAUUCUUUAUCCCGAUGCUCCUAGCAUGCUGCAAGUGUUUAACCCUACUCAGUCCCUUCGUAAGCGAAUAUGUUGGGUUAUCCUCUGAUGAUACCCUCUUUACUAUGAGGUGUCCUUCUUCUACACGAUGUCGAAUAAAGUGAUAUUUUCUGUGGAUAUGUCGAGAUCUACCAUGAUCCCUUGGUUCCUUGUUUAAGGAAACCGCUCCUUCAUUAUCACAGACAAUUUCCAUAGGCUCCUUUAUGGCAGGUACAACUCCAAGGUCUCCAAUGAAGUUCUUCAACCAUAUCGCCUCUUUUGACGCUUCACUCAUUGCAAUGUACUCUGAUUCGCACUUUGAAUCAGCUACGGUUUCUUGCUUGGAACUUUUCCAAGUCACUGCUCCUCCAUUAAGGGUAAAGACCCAGCCCGGCUACGAAUGGUAGUUCUCCCUGUCGGUCUGAAAGCUGGCAUCACUAUACCUUCGCACCUUUAAUUCAUCACUCCCACCGAGGACUAGAAACCAUUCCUUGGUCCUCCGAAGGUACUUAAGAAUGUUCUUGACUGCGGUCCAAUGUGCUCUGCCAGGGUUCCCUUGAUAUCUACUGACCAUGCUCAAGGCAAAGGCCACAUCAGGGCGAGUACAAGUCAUGGCAUACAUAAUCGAGCCAACUGUGGAAGCGUAUGGUACUCUGCUCAUUUCUGCUAUCUCGACUUUGGUACUCGGGCAUUGAGUCUUACUCAACUUGGCAUUACUUUGGAUUGGUAACUCUCCCUUCUUUGAGUUUUCCAUACUAAAACAUUUUAGUACUUUAUCCAAGUAAGUAUUCUGACUAAGUCCUAUUAGUCUCUUACUUCAGUCUCUCACUAUCCUUAUUCCCAGAAUAUAGGAAGCCUCUCCGAGGUCCUUCAUAGUGAAGCACUUCCCUAGCCAGGACUUAACUUCAUGUAGUGUCGGGAUGUCGUUUCCUAUGACCAGUAUGUCAUCGACAUACAAUACGAGGAAGCUAACUAUACUCCCACUGGCUUUAACAUAUACACAUGAUUCAUCUUCGCUUUGUACAAACCCAAACUCUUUGACUUUCUCAUCGAAUCAAAGCUUCCAUCUGCGAGAUGCUUGCUUAAGUCCAUAAAUGGACUUAUCAAGCUUGCACACCCUAUUGGGAUGCUUCUCAUUGACAAAACCCUCUGGUUGAGUCAUGUAAAAAUCCUCAGCCAACUUCCCAUUAAGGACAGCGGUUUUGAUAUCCAUUUGCCAUAUUUCAUAAUCAUGAAAUGCAGCAAUGGCCAACAUCACCCUAAUAGACUUUAUUUUGGCAACUGGUGAGAAGGUCUCAUCAUAGUCAACUCCGGGAGUUUGAGUAAAUCCCUUCGCAACCAUUUGUGCCUUAUAUGUGUGCACCUUUCCAUCCAUGUCGGUCUUCUUCUUGAAGAUCCACUUGCACCCAACCGUCUUACGUCCAGGCACAUGGUCAACCAAAUUCCAAACUUGGUUGUCAUACAUGGACUGAAUCUCGCUGUCCAUCGCCUCUUUCCAUUUUGCAGACUCCGGGCCUGCCAUGGCUUCCUUAUAGCUGUUAGGUUCAUCUAAAUUUAUUAGUAUACUAUCACUAAUAUAUGUGUCCCCUUCUGUAGUAAUAUGAAAACCAUAUAACUGGGGUUGAACUCUAACUCUUUUGGAACGUCUAAGAGGUAAGGACUCGUCAAUCGGUUCAACCAGAGUUUCCUCCUCGGGUUGAGCUCCAACGUUAGAGGUUCCUUCAUCGCUCGACUCUUGAAUCUAUUCAAGAUCGAUUUGCCUCCCACUUUCCCCUUGGCUUAUGACUUCUCGCUCUCGGAAAACCCCUCUCUUUACAACGAAGACAACAUUGUCACUCGGUCUAUAGAAGACAUAUCUAAAGGAUUUCUGCGGGUAGCCGAUGAAAAUACACCGCUCAUUACGAGGUUCAAGCUUGUUGUGAGUCUCUCAUCUUACGAAAGCUUCGAAACCCCAAACCUUGAUAUGUGCCAACAAGGGACCUUUCCCUGUCCACAUCUCGUGAGGUGUUUUGGCAACCUUCUUUGUAGGGACUAAGUUAAGGAUAUGGGCAGCAGUCUCUAAGGCAUAACCCCAGAAUGAGAUAGGUAGUGAAGCACGACUCAUCAUGGAACGAACCAUGUCCAACAAGGUUCGAUUACGCCUCUCAGCCACACCGUUCAAUUGCGGUGUCCUAGGUGGCGUCAAUUGCGAAACUAUUCUGCAUUCCUUGAGGUAGUCGUGGAAUUCAAGACUUAGGUACUCUCCUCCUCGAUCGGAUCGAAGCAUCUUGAUCUUCCUGCCCAAUUGAUUCUCCACUUCUUGUUUAAACUCUUUGAACUUUUCAAAGGUUUCUGACUUGUGCUUGAUUAAAUAGAUAUACCCAUAUCUACUAUAAUCAUCAGUGAAAGUCACAUAGAAGCGGUUCGCAUCCCUUGUGGUGGAUCUAAAGGGCCCACACACAUUGGUGUGUAUGAGAUCCAAUAGACCCUCACCCCUAGCACAAGUGCCAGAGAAUGGUUACUUGGUCAUCUUUCUAAGUAAACAAGAAUCUCACACAUCAUCAUCCCUAAGGUCAAAUGACUCCAACACUCCAUCCUUUUGGAGUUGGGCUAUGCAUUUCUUGUUGACAUGUACAAGACGACAAUGACACAUGCAUGCUUUAUCCAUAAUACUGGAAGAAUCCACACACAAUACAUCAUUUCCUAGGUUAUCUACAACCAUAGCAGUUUCAUAAAUUUCAUUACAAGGCAAUGCUUCAAAAUAUAAAACACCAUUUAGGUAAGCAUAAAUUGAACCAUUCUCAUUAUGAAAUGAAUAUCUAAACCCUUGUCUAAACAAACCAUGAAAUGAAAUGAUGUUUCUAUUUAAAUCUAAACCUAACCCAUUACUAAGCGCUAAAGAAUACAUUCCAAUCUUGGUAACAGGCGACGAUCUUCUGUUCCCCAUGAUUAGAUUUAUUCUUCCACGCUCUACAUCCCUAUCUCUUUUUAGUCGUUGCAAAUCAGAACAUAUGUGAAAACUACAUCCUGUAUCAAGAACCCAAGAAAUAGCAUGUGAUGAAUCAUUAGAUUUAAAUGUGUAAAUACCUGCGAAAGACGGCUUGAUCUUUCCAUCAUUGAUGGCUUGCAGAUAUUUCGGGCAACUUCUUUUCCAAUGCCCUAUUUUGUGGUAGUGGUGGCACUCUACCUCUUUAGGGUUUGAGUUGGGCUUAGCAGAACCGACUUUGGUUCCACUAGAAGAGGUACCAUCUUGGGGUUUACCCUUGUGGUGGCUCUUGGAGGGAGCCUUCCUCUUCUUGCCCCUCCCUUGCCCUAUGGCCAAAACAGGAGCAAAUGUAUUAAAUAAACGGAUGAUUAAUAAUUGAAAAUAUACCUUAAAAAAAGAUAAAUAUAUAUGAAAAAAAUUAUGUAAAAGAUCAAAAUAUAAAACUUUAAAAUAUAAUAAGGCUCAUAAAUUGUAAAUUAUAAAAUACCAUCAAUUUAAUUUUAAAAAUAUAAAUUGUUGUAUGAAAAUUACUUACAUGUAAAAAAAAAUACGCAUGCAAAAAUCUGCUUAGAAAUAAAAUAUCUACUUCCAUAUCUUCAUCUUCAUCUUCAUGCUUAAUAAAAGCCUCCUUAAAUGCCACUUGUCUAUUUUUUACACAAGCCUUCUGCCACGUGUCAUUUUUUUUGUUCACUCUGAUUUUGGUUUCCCGCUCAAAUUCUUCUAUGUAAAGUUAUUAUAUCCGAUAUCCGAUUUUUUAUUUUUGAUUACAAAAUAUCUCAUAAAAUCAGCAACAAAUAUUCCACAAAUCAAGCUAAUAGCAAGAAAUCAGGAGCAAAAUUUUGAAUGAGAUCUUAGGCUGUCUUCCAAUAUAUGAGACGAUGUGCGAUCUAGGUUUUUUUUUUAUGAUUGCGAUUACUCUCUUAACUCCUAAGCCCUAAUCGACCAUUUAUCUACAAUCUACAUAGAAAACUGAAAAUUAGCGGUACAUUAUUUCUCCUACGUCUUCUUCCUUGAUUUUGUUUAUCAGACUGCUUCAUCUAUGUAUUUUCUUCCUUUCGUUUUGUAAAGCUUUCAGGAAAAUGAUACAUAUAUCUAAAACCGAUUCAAAACUUACCUGAAGCACAGUAACCAUGAAGCUUAUGAGCCACUGUGAAAUCAGAUAUAUAUUUUUGAAGUUUUGUUUUCAUAACUUGUAAAAGGAAAAAGGCUAAUAGAUCCAACUUUUGUGAAACGGUGCAAAAAUAAUGUUUCUUGGGGUUUUGUUGUUAGAAUUUAUAAAUAAAAAAAUUAGUACUUGUGCUUUUUCGAUUGCAAAAUAAAAUAGUGAAGUAAAGGAGAUUCCUUUGAUAGGGAGAUACUGAUAAGAGAAGGCGGGACACAGGAUGAAGCCACGAACUAUGUUGUUGCUGCUGGUGUUCAAUGGUUUCUUGAAGAUAUUCGAUUUGUUCCUUAUAAACCAACAGGUAGCCUUCUUAACAUAUUUUUUUUCUGUAUAUUUCUUUCUCUUUAUCUUUCGAAUUUACUUUUUCACAUAUGAACUUUCUGACUAUGCAUAUUAACUAUUUGAUAAAAUGUCUCAAUGAACAAAUACAACUUAAAGUAUGUCCGGUAAAUAUCGUAUUUUUUUAAAUGAAUUCACAAUAAUUGGUAUCAAGCCUCAACUGAUGAGGGUGGUACUGAUGGUUAGAAAUUUGGGGACACAUGUGUGACUAAGUCCCACUUACGGUCUGAUUAACAAAUACAGUUUGGUUGUUGUUAUUGGAAACUUCACAAUUAUUUUGUAUAAUGACCUCAUAAAUAUUCAUUGGUACAUAGAAAACUUAAUGGUAUAUGGUUGUUUGUAGUUAGGACCAUGGUGCUAUUGGGCGGCAAUUCUAGGGUACCUCUGACUUUGGAGAACCAAUUUUUUUAAAUGAAAAGUUUGUUAAAGUGUUAUUGCUAUGGUUUUGAUGCUUAUUUGUUGCUCUAUUUAUAUAGAAUUAGGGAUAUAUAGGUGUGUUGAUUAACACAUGUAUUUAUUAUCUUAUCAUAGAAUCUAAUGCAUUUCUUCUUAGAUUGAAGGUCUUGAUGGACAUAUUAUUAUGGGCAUACCAACGCUCAUUGGAACAUGAACGGUUAAAUUUAAAAAAAGGUAAUCAUACACAUACAUAAACAAUAUGAUAUUACAUUUUUUGUCCCUUACCUAUAGUUUCCUUUUCUCAAAAUAAGGUUAUUUACUUUUUUUUUUUGAAGAAUAUGAAGAAAAAUGGCAAAAACACCACAAGCUAUUGGCCUUGGUAUCAAAAGAUGGAACAAAUUGUUGAGAAUUGAUUUCCCUUAAAAGUUGUAGUGGAUGAAGAUAUUGCUAUAGGAGGAAUCCAUGGAUAAUGAGUUUUUAGAAAGAAUAAAAAAGAUGCCAAAGGCACAUACAGAAAGAGAAUUUUAGAGCAUUUGGGAUAUCUUCAUCUUCUUAGACGGGAACAACUAGACGACUUAUUUCGGGUCGUAGAAUGAGCAAGCAACAAGGUUUGCUUAAGUAGUAACAAACUUUCCUUUGAUUUUGUUAUUUAUAACAGUCUACUUCUAUUAUUAACUAAAAAUAUGUUAAUAUUCGUUGCAUUUAGACGAAAUUAUGUUAGUAUUCAUUGCAUUUAACACUGAUACAUAUAUUCCAAAAUCAACAUUGCUCAAACAGGUAUCAAAAUCAAAAAAUUGGGUGUUAGAUUUUACUACAUUUAUUUUAAUGUUGUUGUAUCUGAACUUUCAUGUGUUGGUUUAGGUAUGUUAGAUUAUUCUAUUCAUUUUAUUAAAACAUAUAUUAAUUAAAAUUAUUUUUUGUAUGAUUUGUUUUUUUUUCUAUGAAUAUAUUCAGGAUCAUCAAGGAAUGUCGAAUAUAGCACCAACUAAUACUCUGUUGUUCCACCUGUGCAUUACCAAGGGUGAAAGUGGAUUUAUGGAGGAUUCUGAAAUUGUUUUAGAUUAAUGGAAGAUUCUGAGAAUGUUUCGGAAGCUAGAAUUCAAGAAUUCAUAAAUAAUCUUCGGAUUUUAUAUCCCAAAACGCUCUUUUCCACGUAAUAAUAUAAACUUCUUUGUCACCUUUUCACUUUACAUGUAAGUUUUGAGGAUUUUUUUUUUAUCUAAUUGGAUGUUUAGUUGACAUGUAGUAGUGGAAUAACUUCUAAUAUAGUGUAUUAUAGCAUCUUACUUUCUAAAUAUACCAACUUAAGGCAGUGAAAAUGCUUUGUAAAUUGGAUGAAACUUCUUUAAAUGGGUUAAUUUUUCAGCCACAAUGUUGAUAAAAAGGAAAGUAGAAUGCUAUAAUUUCGAUAAAUUUUUCGAAGUACAUUGUCUUAAUAAGAAUACUACCACUACUUGGAUCUACCAAUUAUUUUCAGGACUUGUAAAAACCGGUUGAUAAUAAAAAUUAAUUGACAGAGAUGUUGGAUUUUUUUUCUUUAUCAAUUUCUUCUUACAGUGUUUGUUCCAGAAGUUUUCUAUUGAAUUAUCGGAUUGUCCACAUAGAAACUUAGCAAUUUCUACCCAUCUGCAAAUACAAAAAAUGAAUAACUAUUUAAGUCCACAAUAAUUAAAAACUUCAAAUAUGUUGAAUACUUUUGUUCUAACAUUAUUCCUUGAAAAACUACGUAUAUUUAAUUUUAGUUUUUUACAAAUGAAGCUGUGAGUUUGAGCCAAAUUAACUAAAUUCAUGCCACAAAUUUGUUUUGUUAUACAGUUAAGCUGAUUUGUAGAUAGACGUAGACAUCCUCGAGUUCUUGGUGAGCAAGAGAAAGUUAGUAUUUACCAAACAUAUUCAAGAAAAACUUUUUAUCCUUAUUGUUUUAAUUCAUGUUUUCUGUAAAAACAAUCAUUGAUCAGAGUUUGGUGUGUUUUUCUGAUUUGUGUUUGAGGUGUUCAUAUUUGAUUUUAAGUUUAAUGAUUGACUUUGAAUUUUGUUGCAGUCUCUGAAAAAAUAAAGUUUGACUUAGAAAACAUGAUAAAAACAGUGGAAGCUCAUGUGAAUACAUUUGAUUUUGCCUUCGGUAAGUAUGACUACAUUUGUAAAAUAUCUUGCAUUAUAGAUGCUAAAAAUAUGUUCAAUAUCAUAUUUUAUAUAAAAAUGUGGCCAAUGACAUAUUUUAUACUAAAGUCAAAAUGAGAAGUAAUUAUCAAGAUUAAAUACGUAAUCAAUUAAAGUCAAAGUUGAGACGGGAGAGAUAUAACCCUUUUCUAAUAAGGUUUUUUUUUAUAAUAUUUUAAUAAUCAAAAUUAUUAACAUAAAAUAUAAAAUGUAAAACAUAAUUAUUGUAUAUAAAGUUAUGUUUUACAUGUUUUAAAUAUUUUUUUAUUAUACAUAAGAAUUAAGAUCUUUUAAACAAGAGUAAAUUACACAAAUGGUCUCUAUGGUUUGGGGUAAUUUGUGCGUUUGGUCCCUAACUUAUUUUUUUUAACUCGGAAAGUCCCUACUGUUUGUUUUUGUCACAUGCUUGGUCCUUACUAUUUGUUUUUGUUAUGCGUUUGGUUUCUGUCUUACAUAAAAAGACUAUUAUUUAAAUAUGAAAAAAUGGUAGGGUAGGUAAGGUAAGGUGAGAAGGUGGGGUUAUGGGUGUUUAUUUAAAUAAAUUAAAAAAUCAAGGACAAAAUAGUUUUUUUUGAUAAGACAGGACCAAACGCGUAACAAAAACAAACAGUAGGGACCUUCCGAGUUAAAAAAAUAAGUUACGGACCAAACAUGUAAAUUACCAUAAACCACAGGGACCAUUCAUGUAAUUUACUCUUUAAACAAAGAUUUUUAUAUGAUUUUGACUUUUUUAUUUUAACUACCAAAAAUAAAAUGUCAAAAUAAAUAAGAUAUGAAAUUACAAUAUUGUUUUCUUCUUUUAAAUUAAUACUAUUUUUCAAACUAAAAUUGAAGCACAAUGUUAUUAACUAAAUUAUGUGUAUUUAUGGUUAAGACUAUUUUUUUUAUAAUGCCUAUGUUAUUUAAUAUUAUCCUAUGUAUAUACGGGUUAUAACUUAAUAAAUACUUAUAUUUCACAAAUUGUAUUGUAUGAUAUUAAAAUAAUAAAAUUUAAUCUUAAUUUAAACAUCUGUCAUUUUGCAAAUCAAUAUAUCCUUUCCAAAUAAAGAUCGGGUAUUUAUGUCUUCAGAUGUGGAAAGAAGCUACUAGAAGCUCCUGGUAUCCUUCUCUCUUCCCCGAUCAUUCCAGAAUUAUCUUCUUCUUCCUCCUCUCCUUAUUCCUCUCUACGUUAUAAAUCCAUCAUUGAAAUGAUCGUUUGGUCAUUCGUCACUCAUAGAAGUUCUCGAUUCAUACUUGUUUUUUUCAAUCGCGCUCGAAUUUUAGAAACAGAUCGUUAACAGAGGUCGAAAUGGAUAUCAGUUUGAUGGGUUUCGACACGCCGUUCUUCCGCAACCUCCACCACAUCCUCGAUGCCACCGAAGACACCAACACCAACAGCAAAUCAAGCAACGCCGGACCUACUCGCGCUUACUUACGUGACGCCAGAGCAAUGGCUGCAACUCCGGCGGAUGUGAAGGAGUAUCCCAGCUCUUACGUUUUCAUCGUCGACAUGCCGGGUUUGAAGUCCGGAGAUAUCAAGGUUCAGGUGGAGGAAGACAACGUGUUGGUGAUAAGUGGAGAAAGGAAAAGGGAACACGAUCAGGAAGAGAAGGAAGGAGCGAAGUACGUGAGAAUGGAGAGGAGGAUCGGUAAGUUUAUGAGGAAGUUUGCUUUGCCGGAAAAUGCUAAUACGGAUAAGAUAUCUGCGAUUUGUCAAGAUGGGGUACUUACUGUCACAGUGGAGAAACUGCCGCCGCCGGAGCCCAAGAAGCCGAAGACGAUCCAGGUCAACGUUGCUUGAAGAAUGAAAUGGGAUCGCUCGUAUGUGGUGAAAUUCUAUAAAUAAUCUGGAUUCAAUCAAUAGGUACGAUAUGCUAUAGGGAAUGUGGGUUUGAAUAUGUAGAACGGGUUAUUGGAUAUCUGUAAUUGCUUGUUUGUUUUGCUCUGUUUUGCUAUAAUCAAUCUAUUGUUGCUGGUUUUUCAUUUCAAUUGUUUUGGACGUUCUGUGUUAUUUUGUUUCUAACUAUAGUAAUGGAAGAUCGACAGAUGUGAUGUUUUGAUACAGAUGUUUUCUAUAACCCUAUAAGGGUUAGAUUUUACAGAUUAAUGCCAUUGAAACCGUAAUAUCUUGAGUUGCAUUUUAAAUUAGCUAUGAUUUAUGUUCCCUAUUUGCCAUAUCAUAAGCUUCCAAGAAAAAAAAACGAAGAUUGUAAAACCUAAUGGUUUUCUUUUUACGAAAUAAGGGGUAAAACUUAGUGGUUUUAUAAAAAAUGUUAAUGUAUCAGUCUAUGGAAAGUGUGUGCCGUUUGCCGCGGUUUGCCAAGGUGGCGGACGGAUCUUCUUAAGGGCUGGGUUGUGCCCCUCCUGUUUUUNUUUUUUUUUUUUUUUUUUUUUUUUUUUUUUUUUUUUUUUUUUUUAAACUAGUCCAUAUACUAUUAAAAAUUUUACAUAUUAGGCUUACAACUAAAAAAAUUGAUUGUCCCCCCUCCGUUUUCCAAUUUUUAUACGUAUUAUACUUUCGGUCCCCAACUUAAAGGUUCAAGCUCCGUCAGGUGGCAGUGAGAAACACUGCCCCAUGUACAUGUUUGGUCAUAUGCCUCUCUCUCUCUCUCUCUCUCUCUCUCUCUCUCUCUCUCUCUCUCUCUCUCUCUCUCUCUCCACUUCCAUUAUAGUUUCAAAAUAAUCAAAUGAGAAAUAAUAAAAGUUGGCCUCAAUAUAGUAUAGGAAUAAGUGUGGUUUCUAUAGCAUCAUUCUCUCUGGUUUUAGAAUGAGUGUGGUUUUUAUAAUGAGUGUGGUUUCUAUAGCAUCAUUCUCUCUGGUUUUUGAAUACUAACCGACUUUCAUAUUUGUAGGAAUUUUGAUUUAUUAUUAUUAUUAUUAUUGUGUAUUUAAUGAUGACCUGUCAAUGAUACCUUUUUAAUAAGUUACCAAAUGAUUCGAUGUCAUAAAAGAGUUUUUUAGAGGUUAUUAUUAUUAACUUAUUAAUAAUGAAGACUUAUUAUCCUUGAAACUCGUUAUUUUUUUGUUUGUUUAUUUUUAUUGAUUAUUCAAUAUAUUAAAUAGUUGAUAUAAUUUAACUUUUUAUAUAUUUUAUCCACUUCAUCUUCUAAUUAUACUUUAGUUUACCCUUAUUAUAUUUUAGUUUGCAAUUUAUUUAUUUAUUUACUAGUUAAUUUGAUUUGUCUUUAUAUUUAAUUUAUCUAUCAAAUAUUUUAUACAUCUUAUUAUAAAGAAUAUGUUCAAGUUCAAACAAAAGAUAUUAUCGUCCUUUUAUAUGUAUUAAGUGAGUUUAUAUGGAAUUAAUUUGAUGUGUAUCGUUAUUUAAUUUUUUUUAAUUGUUUGAUCCAAAAUAUGUAGAAACAAGUAUACAUAAAUAUGGAAAGUAAAUAUUAUAUUUCAGUAGUGUAGUUAAUAGCAACAAUAAUAUUAUAUAUUAGUUUUUAACCCAUGAGAACCAUAGUUAUAAAAUUAAUUAAACUUUAAUAGUUAAAAUUUAAAAUUAUUAAUAACUUAUUUUAAAUAAAUUAUUAAUUAAGAGGUUUUUUUAGUUAUAUAAAAUCAUAAUCAUUGAUUUAAAUAAAUAUGUAAAAUUAUAUCACUUUAUAAUUUGUAUUAAUUUUAUUUUAAUUUUUAUUCUAAUGUUGUUAAUUUAAUGGAAUUAAAAUGAGAAAUUUAAAAUUUGAAAAUUGAAAUGGAGAAUCAAUAUGUUGACAAAUGGUAUGCAUUAAUGAUGAGACAUAAUAAGGUGAAACAUGACAAAAGAAAAAUAAAUUUUACAUUAAUUAUGACGCUUAAUAUGAUNNNNNNNNNAUAUAUAUAUAUAUAUAUAUAUAUAUAACGAUUUAAUAUUUUCAAAAUUUUGUUAUAAUUAUGACAUAGUUUUUUUCUUAUUAUUUUUUAGUUUUUUAUUUUUAGUAUUUUACGUUGAUAAAAUAAAGAUCCAUAUACUCUGAUUUAUAUUUUCAUUUGUUUAUAAAAAUAUAUUCAUUAUGUUUGUAUUAAAUAGAAAAGUAUAAUUUAGUUAAAUUUAAAGAAAAAACUACCGGAAGAGGUAGGAGAAACCAUUUAUUUAGAGAAUAAAAUUAAUGGAAUGAUGAGUUUGCAAUAGUUAGCAAUAGCAUAGAUCAACCAUUGGAGAUGCCUUAAACGACAAAUUAUUAUUAUUACUAAGCGCGGGUCACGAAUAACCGUCCAAUGAUUUUCAGCCCUUGGAUUUACUCAAGAUUGAAUCUGGACCGCAUAAACUCCCUAUUUACGGUACCAUUAUAAUCGUAACAAUUCUCAUUACCAAUUAGGUGAGAUGAUGACAAUAUUUAUAAUUGAAAAUAUUACAACAAGGUACACCAAAAAGUAAAUAAAUACAAAUUUAAAACAAACUAUUUAUUUACUCUAACAUCCCCCCUNNNNNNNNNNNNNNNNUAAGCAAACCGGUGGAGUCCUAAGACAUAGCAUAGAACGAAAACAUUCAAAUUGCGGUCGAGGAAGACUUUUUGUGAAAAUGUCGGCCACCUGAAGCUUGGUAGAAACGAACUUAGUAUAUAGCUUUCCUAAAUAUACAUGUUCCCGAAUAAAAUGAUAAUCCAAGUCAAUAUGCUUUGCCCGUUUAUGGGAAAACGGGAUUUUGAGUCAAGAAUAGAGCACUGCGGUUAUCACAUAGUACGGUAGGUCGAUCAGGAGGUAAUGCAUGAAGUUCCAUAGUAAGUGUCUAAUCCAAAUGAUUUCAGCAGCAGUGUUGGCCAUAGCUUGGUAUUCAGAUUCACAGCUAGAACGAGAGACGGUGGGUUGUUUCUUGGCACUCCAAGAAACCAAGUUAGCUCUAAGAAAGAUUGAAUACCCAUAAGUAGAUCGUUUGGUCUCAAUACAGCGAGCCCAAUCCGCAUCGGAAUAACCGAGAACAGAAAUAUUAGGUGGCUUUGAAAAGUAAGGCCGAAAGCAAGAGUCGAAGAAUACACUUAACACACUGAAAAUGUGUAUUUGUAGGUGCCUGAAGGAACUGACUGACCUGAUUUACAACAUAGGAUAUAUCGGGGCAAGUGAUUGUGAGAUACUGAAGAGCACCCACAAGUGAUCGGUAUAAAGUAGGAUCAUAAAAUGGGGUACCGUUAGAAAUUAACGUUUCAUGAGGCGCAAGCGAAGUAUGUAUCGGUUUUGAGUCAAGUAAACUUACUCAAUCCAAAAUAUCGUGAGCAUAUUUAGAUUGAUUGAGGAACAAACCUCCAUAUGUAUAGGCAACUUCAAGACCCAAAAAAUAAUUUAACUUCCCAAAAUCUUUGAUAGCAAAUUCCUGAUGAAGUCGGGCAAUAAAGGAGCUAAUGAGAUGUUCCUAAUUACCUGUCAAAAUAAGAUCAUCAACGUACACCAAAAGAUACAUGAUGCAUGAGUCACGUUUGAAAACAAAUAAGGAGGUAUUGGCUCGACUGCAAACAAAACCAUCAUGUGUGAGAAAAGUACCGAGACUUUGAAACCAUGCUCUUGGUGCUUGUUUGAGACCAUACAAUGCCUUUUUAAGCUGACAAACGUGAUCAAGAAGUUAGGGAUUGACAAAACUGGGUGAUUUUUCCAUAUAAACAGUUUCACCAAGAUGCCCAUGUAGAAAUGCAUUUUUGACAUCAAGUUGAUGAAGCUUCCACUGAUGAAUGACAGCAAGCGAUAAAACAAUACGUAUUGUGGAUGAUUUGACAACUGGCCUAAAGGUGUGUGAGUAAUCUAAUCCAAGCAUAUGAGUGAAACCUUGAACAACGAGAUACACUAAUGGCGCUCAAUAGUACCAUCAGAGUUGUACUUGGUCCGAAAAAUCCAUUUGGAACCGACCACAUUUGAGUGAUUAGGUCUAGGUACCAAGGACCAAGUGUCGUUAGAUUGAAGGGCCAUCAUUUCAUCUUGCAUUGCAGACAUCCAUUGUGGAUGUUUUGAAGCUGAUUUGAAACCCUUUGGAUCGCGAGUAGCAAAUAACGCAAAACACAAGCUAUUAGUAUCAAGAAGUGCAAAAUCAACUUGAUGCUUUGGUUUAAAAAUUCCAUCUUUGGAUCUAGUAGUCAUCGGAUGAGUGUUAGGUAAUGAUGAGCUUGAAACUUGUUGAAUCGGCAUAGAAGUAGUCCCAUCAGGUUGAGUGGAAGAAUCAAAAUGAUGUUGUCGGGUCGGUGAAGGAUACGAAAACACAGUUUAGGCCGACGACGAAUCAGGACUUUGUUGGGAUGGAACCAUAGAUGAAUUAUCAUCAGAUGUGGGUCCGGUCAUGUCAUGAUGGUGAUGGACUGGCUGUGGCGAUCCAGUAGGCUAAUUGGUUGAGCUAGUAGAUGGUGAAGAGCAAGGUGGACAAAAAAAUUUUGUAGUUUAUGGGACAUAAGUUUCAACAUUGGGUACUGUAGCAGUUGUGUUAGGGGUGACCAUAAGUUGUUAUAUCAAGGUUUUGCAGAUCCGUGGAAGCAUUAAUACCAGAAAAAGGAAAAAUGUUUUCGUCAAAUAUAGCAUGACGAGUAAUGUAAAUCCGAGACGGAUUAGGAUCCAAGCAAUAAUAACCUUUGUAUUGAGAUGAAUAACCAAUAAAUACACAAGGAAUGCUAUGUGGAGAAACUUUAUUUAUGGAAUAAGGAUGAAGAUAUGGAAAUACUCGACACCCAAAAACCCGAAAAUUUGUGUAUGUUGGUACUUGAGAGUAUAAGAGCUCAAAAGGCUUGCGAUUAUCAAGAACCGAUUUUGGUAAUCUAUUAAUGAUGUAUGUCAUGGAACUGAAAGCAUCGACCCAAUAAAUAGUGGGAACAUGAGAAUUAAAAAACAUUUCCAGCCCGGUUUCAACAAGGCGUCGAUGUUUCCUUUCAACAUGAACGUUUUGCUCGGGAGUAUAGGGACAAGAAAACCGAUGAAAAGUCCCAUUAUCCUCAAAAACUUUUUGAAUCGUUUGAUUCAAAAAUUCCGAUCCGCCAUCACUUUGAAAUAGCUUAACUUUUCGAUCAAAGUGUGUUUGAACAAACUUCAAGAAAACAAUUAGGACAUGAUAGAAACCGGUUUUUGUUUUAAGGGGAUAAAACCAAAUAAAACGCGAAAAUCAUCGAUAAAAACCACAUAAUAACGAUAAUUGUCCACCGAUUCAAUAGGUGAGCCCCCCCCCCACACACACACACACAUAAAUCACAAUGUAUUAAAUCCAAGGGAAAAGAUGAACGUUUAGUAUUAAUAUCAAAUGAUAAGCGAUGUCCUUUAGAUAACUGACAAGCCGAACAAAUAAUGGGUUUAGGCAAAACUGAAGUAACAUUCAAACAUCCAAAUGUAUUCAGGAUAGAAAUAAUAUCAAAUGCAACAUGCCCUAGACGAUUAUGCUAAGUCUCAUAAGAAGCUUUAGAAGAUGAAACUGCAACCAAAGCUUUGUGCCCAUCAUUUAAAACGUAGAGCCCAUUCUCACAUCUUCCUUGUGAUAGUGGCUGCUUCGUCUUUCUAUCCUGAAUGGUAAAAAAAGGUUGAGAAAAUAAAACAUCAACCGGGUUAUCUAUUGUAAGUUUGCUCAUGGAUAAUAAACUUAUUGUGAGAUUAGCAACAACCAAAACAUCACGAAGCUUAUUAUUAUGAGGAAGAUUUGAAUGACCUGUGCAUAUAACAGGUAAUGAAUGACCAUUACCAAAGGUCACACAAGUAUUACAUGGAUAAGAAGAGACAUUGUUUAGACCAUUAGAAGACGGUGCCGUGUGAGUUGAAGCACCUGAAUCAACAAACCAAUCUGGUGCGAAGGUAUUCACGUGACAUUAAGCUUGAAAGGCAUGAGCUAAAUUAGCAUCAUGAGGGGUGGAAGUAGAGGAAAAUGAAGUAAGAUUAGGGAAUUUAUUAGCAAAAUGACCCUCUUUUCGACAAAGUUGAAAAUGGGGAGGUCAUCUAUAGCGACCCCGACCACCCCCACGGUUCAAGUUAUAUGACCGACCACAUCCUCGAGAAUUUGACCCCGACUAAGACUAUUCAGAAGAAAAAGAUAAAUCAGGAGUUGAAGUGGUAGAACCAUGCAAAUAUUUCAAAAAUAAUUCAUGACUCUCAGCUUGUGAGAUAAGAUCAAGAAAUACUAAACCCGGUUUAGAGGCCCGUAUGGCAGUGGAAAACGUUUCAAAUGAAGCACCCAAUCCACACAAAAACCAAUGAAUUUUGUCAAUCUCCUCUACUGGUUGACCAAUUGCUGCAAGCUGAUCGCAUAAUCCUUUAAUGGUACGACUAAAUUCAGAGACCGAUAAGGUACCUUUGUUGAGUUGUCUGAGUUGAUCACAUUAACUCUGAACUCGUUCAACAGAAAGCUGCUAUAAGCUGAUUGAACCAAGAACUUCAGAGAUAACUUCUUCAGAGAGAGACAAGAGGAGAAGAAUUACAGCUCGUUGAUCAGCUUCAUACCAUGACGUGUAAUUAGGAUUGGCAGCAGAUUUGUCAUCAACAGUAAUGGUCCUUGCAGGUGGUAAAACAGACCCAUCAGCAUGACUCAUUACCUUGUGAUAAGAUAGGAGGGGAAUCAUUUGAUUUCUCCAUAAUAGGUAAUUGGAAGAGUUGAGUUUGGUGAUCAUGUGGAGAAUCGAAGACAUGGGUAGAUUUCCAUCAGAAGACUGAGAAGAAGACAUGUUUGUUAGAUUAGGUGUUUAAGUCCAUAACUAUUAUUGGUAUGUACUUGACCCGGUUAUGAGUAUGGUCCUUUUGGGUUGCCUUCACCAUAGCAACUGAUAGGAUGAGUUAUGGAGAAAGAGGAUUGAUUAUGAUUUAUUAAUAUAUUAUAAGAAUAAUAUAUUAAUUGAGAAAUCAUAUUAUUUAAUUAGUAUUGAUCGAAAAUUAAUUUGGAAUUAAUUUGGUGAUCAAAAGAGAUUGAUUAAAUUAUCAGGGACUGAUUAUGUAAAUCAAUAAUAUUUAUAGUUUGGGCUUAUGGACCUUAUUGGUAUAAGGUGGAUGAAAUCUAUAUGAGAGUCCAUAAAGAUUUCGUCUAAAGCUUGUCUAUUAAGGAGUCCAUAUGUUGCUUAGGGCCUAAGCAAGGGAAUUAGGGUUUCCAAGUUAAUAACCCUAGAAGCCUUAACUAUAAAAGGAAGCCUAGGGCUCCUAAAAUCGUCCCUAUGGCUUCUUAGAUCACAUUGGAUGAUUUUAAAGCUCUAUCCUCUCUCUCUCUCUCUCUCUCUCUCUUGUUCUUCCUUGUUGACAGUGGUUUUUUUUACUCCAUUAGAGGUGCAACACUUGGGGCAAUAGGCUUUCAGAAGUCAAGAUCAAGAAGGAGUGUGAUUGUUAUUGCUAAAUAAUAAUCAAGGUAAUGUUUCUAACCCUAGUCAUAUGUGAUUUUCGGAUUUGUAUGCUAGCCAUUAGGGUUGAUUGCUUUGGUAUUCAUAGUUGUAUGUUCAUUAUAGAAAAAACUAGAUCAAAGCAAUUAGGGUUGCAUGUACACCAUAUGAUUGAUGUUAUGCUCAAAACCCAACAGUGGUAUCAAAGACUAGGGCGUUUUUCUAUUGAAUAGAUGCAAAAAUGAAUUGCCAAAGAUCAGAAAAUCGAAAUUUCUUGUUGUUUGACAGGCUACUCGUUGAGUCCAUGUAUGGACUUGACGAGUUGCAUUAACUCGACGAGUUCUAUAGUGGACUCGAUGAGUCCAGGGCUUUGGUGCCGAGAUUUUCGAUUUUCUGGCCAGAUUUUGAUGAAGAUAACUACCAUAACUCAUUUUUCUUUCCAAAAUCCGAAUUUUUAUGUUUGGUAUGGUUAUCCUUAUCAAUUUUGGUGGAUAUGGUUAAAUAUGGAUAAUAUAGGAUUAUUUUGAUUCAAAUAUUUGACCUUGUAUUUUUGAAAAUUUUCAAAUUACACCCUUUAGGUUUUAUAGUUUAAAUUUAAACUUAAAAGUUUUAGUUUUUGAAAUUUAAAUAGUUAAACCCUAAUAUUUUCAAAAGUUUCAAAAUUUGUCCUCAAGUUUUGGAAUUUAAAAUUUAAUUAAAUGGUAUUAAUUUUGAAAUAUUAAAAUUCUAAAACCUUAAUAUUUUGAAAAGUUCAAAAAACACCCUUAUGGUUUUAUUAAAUUAAUUAAGAGCUUAAUUAAAAGAGAGAAUUAAUAAAUCCAUUACAAUAUGAUUUAAGAUUAAUCAAAUUAAAAGUCUAAUUUAUUAAUGGAUUAAACCACCUAGUAUUUUAAAAGUGUAAAAUACACCCUUAUACUUAUAAAAUUAAAAGUCUAAUAUAUUAUAUAUGUAUAAGUAAAUGUCAUUCUUACCGUUAGUAGGUCUCAUUCACGAAGUUGGUCUAUAAUGGGUGUUUAAGGAAGUGGUCUAUAAAAUGACCGUCAUUGGGUAUCCACUUUUACCCACCGCACCCUUGACUAGUAGAGGGUCGUUAGCCGAACGGGUAGGAUAGGACACAACCUUCCAUUAUAAGUAUAAUGAAAUACAAAGUAACUAAACACUUUUAUAAAUUCCCAAAAUUUUAGUUACUUUAGGAAAAAUGUGAAUUUGGUGCUAAUCCAUGAAAUUGCACAUUGCACCUUGUUGGUCGUUAUUGGAGCGUGUGUGUUUAACUGGCACACUAAUAUGGGAGUUUCAAACUCGAAGGGCAUAAUCGAGAUUAAACAUGCCAUUGAAAAUUUCAAUGAAUCUCAAAGAGAUCUAGGAGUUUCAAUUCAUUUAAAACCUAAAAUUUUCAAUUUUCGUUUUUCAUGGUGGAAAUUGAUAAAUCGUCAUUUACCUACCUUCAAAUAUCCUAUAGCUGGAUUAUGGCAUCCCUCUUCCGAGUUGUAGAAUAUUCUGUUGGAUCCUAGCCUUAAUAUUUCAUUUGGGUGUUAUAUUAAGGAUUGAAUCAACUAAGUUGAAUUUCUCCCGUUUUGUAGAUGUCAAAUUCUAACAACUAUGGUCUUCCCGAAUCUUUCGGAAAAAUCUUUCCACAUGAAGAUAAUGUUCCACGAUUGGAUCAUGGAAACAAAAAUAAUUCUUCACUUCCUCAACAUCCUCCAAUAAUUCUCUCUGACCCACAUGUUCGAAGACUUGAAAAGUUCAAGGUCACUCAAGACCUAUUGGCAAGCAAACACAAAGAUGGAAAUUCUGUAUGUGCUCAUGUCUUGGAUAUGAAGUUACAUAUUGACAAGUUGGGGAUGUUGGGUGUUGAUGUCUCAAGGAAGCUGGCUGUUGACUUGGUUCUUUAAUCACUUCCCGAAUCAUAUAGUGAGUUCAUUAAAGAUUACUAUAUGACGAACCACGAUGUGACCCUCAUUGAUUUUACCUAUUUGCUUAUUGCUGCUGAAUCAACAAUGAUUUGGCGCAUUGGUAAAGCAAAUUUGACUGGUAGAUCAACUUCCCAAACUUCCAUGGACAUUGAAAAUGGCAACAUUGGAAGUCCAUAAAAGUCUUCUGUUCCCAAUAGAAGGGGAUUGGCCAUGGUCAAACCAUUUGAUCGGAUGGUAAAGGGAAAUGCUAAAUUUGAGAUUAUCCCAUGUGUUGUUCCAAAAGAGUCCAUUUAUUUUUACUGCUAAGAGAAGGGGCAUUGGAUGCAAAGCUUUUGUAUCUGCUUGAAGGAUAAUGAAGAUGGGAGAGUCAAGAUGUAUGACUCUGCUUCAGGUAAAUUCACUAUCUAACUCUAUUAAGUUCCUAUUUAUAUAUUCUUAAUACAUGAUAUGAUAAGAUUGCAUUUCGAUGUUUUGUAGGAUCAAAGAGAAGAAAGGAAGCUUAAAAGAAAGGUAUGCUGAGUCUGAUCGUGAAGAGAUGGAUUUUGAUCGCAUGGUUCGAUGAUCGGAUUUUUGAGCUGUUGUAUAGGACUUAUGAUAGAUUGCUUAGGAACAUUUUAGUAACAUAUUUUUCAUUUGUAAUUGUGUUGUAAGGACAAGUUUUUUCCGUGUUUUUAUAAAUAAAAUAAAUUUUGAUUUUUAUCUUAUUUAUAUAUAUCCUUGCAAUGAGUUUUGUGAAAAAUUGAUGUUUGUAUGUUUCUAUUGUUAGCAAUGUUGAAAAUGGAUGUGAUUCUUAGUUAUGUUAUUUAUGGUAAUGUCGAAAAUUUACCAAUUAGGGAAUGAUUCUAAUCACCCAAGUUUCAAUUGGAUAGAAACUUGGAAUCGUGCGACUUGUGUUGUGUGAUGAAUGAGAACCUUCGUAUUUGGGAAAUUGAGACUAAUUCCUUGUUCACACAAAUAUAUGAGUCAAGUGAAGGACUAGGGGAUCUAGUAUACAUUGUUGUGCACUAGGAAAAGUCUGCCACAAAGAACGAUAAGAAUAUUCGUCAUGCUUUGCUAAAGGUUUAGUAAAUAUGGUUAUGAUUACAAGAUUAAGUGUAAUUCUGAAUCGUUGAAAAGGUCUCAAUGUAAAGCAGAACGAAUAGGAAGAAUAAAUUAGGCAAAAAGAUAAAAGUUUCUCCAAUCUGAAAAGAAGGGAGAAUAUUAAUUAUCGUGUUUUAUGAUUAACCUAGUGAUUUUGAAACUGUGUCACAAUUGAUCCUCUAAGGACACCUUAGUGCAUUUGUAUGGCUAAGAAGAUGAAUUGACAAUUUUUAAAAUGGUUAAAUUGAUUAAGGAGAAUCAUACUUCGUUCCAAAAUCAAGUCUUAGAGUCGUACUCCAAGAUUGUGACUUGAGUGACAUCAUCUUAAGAAGGUUUAUAAUACCUAUCAAAUGUGAAGUAGAAAAAUUUCUUACUCCUACACAUUUGAAAUUGGUAAGUUGUGAUGUGCUGGAUAGGACAAAGGCCAACUAAGACCAAUUGUGUGAAGUGUUUGUCUUGAUAACAAUCUGCACUAAUUCUUGAAUAUUUGUUUUGUCGAGAAAUGUUUCAUGACAAGAGAACCUUAUAUGUCAAGAGGUCAGUGGGAGUCUUAAUGAUCAUGAAAAGUUUUAAGAACAAAUCAAGAAUAAACCUAGUUGUUCAUCGCUAGCACACGACUUGAGGUUUAUAACCUAUCGUGUUGACAUAUUAUUGUUUCUAUGUCAUUCCAAUAAAGUUGACUAUGCAUGUGAGUUCUAAGAGUUCUCAAUUGAUUUCAUGAAGCAAAGCACCUUGAUUGGUGAAAGUUCAUUGAUUUGUAUGGGUGAGCUGCUUGACUACUUGGAAGACAUGGUAGACCCUUGUGCUGCUAGGUGGCAAGAAAUAAAGUUUGAACAAAUUCAAUCCAUAUGAGUUUGGAUUUGUCACAAACCUUGUCUUAUGAUUAUGUGUAUGAAAAAUUCACAUGGAUAGGAAUACAUACACCAUAAAAUCUAAGUGUCAUCAGGUUUCUCUCCUUCAUGAAAAUGAUUGUGAGGAAACGCUUUCACUAGGAAGAUUUUAAGGAGAUAGCGAUUGCGAGAAUUGCAUUCUCAAAUACGAUCACAAUUACGACAUCCUGAUAUGUGCAUAUUUAGUUACAUAUUUUGUCUAAAAUCUUAAUACUUUUUGGCUAAUUUGUCCUAAGUAUUUGUCACACCCCGAAACCAAAGGCGGAAACGUCUCGGGGCGGAGGUGACUUCAUGGGAAUAUCAUAACCAAUGUACAUAGUAAGUGAAGUAAAACACAAAACAUUACAUUACAUAGAUUUCAUUACAUCAGUUGAAAAGUUAAGUAGUACAAGUUUUAUAGAUACAUAAGUUUAAACAAAAGAAAGACGUGACUUCCAUUCGCUCCGUCUUCUGCAAAAGAACGCGGGAUACCUGUCUAAGGAGAACCUGAGAAUACAAGUAGUUUAAAAAUCGGCAUAAAGCUGGUGAGUUCAUAAGUAGGAAUGGCAACGGGGCGGGUUCGGGGCGGGGCAUGGAUUCCCAAACCCGCCCCGAUAACUUUCGGGUAUCUUAUCGGGGCGCCCCAUUGGGUUUCGGGUUUCCCCGUCGGGUUUCGGGUAUCUUAUCGGGUUUACAAAAAUUGAUAACGAAAUCUUUAUUCUCUUUUAGGGUACCCCAAUGUCUUAUAAAAUAUACAUGUUCNAACGAUCGUUUUAGGAAACGAAUUGCUGCCCGAUUAUCAUCAAAUCAAGUGAGUAUAUUCACUUUCAAUUUACACUUAGAUAUGAAGUAUUUACCUUAAAAUACGUGUUACGUGUAAAUAUAUUAAUUGUUUAUUUGAGGUGACUGUUGUGUUGAUAUUCUAUACAAGUUUUAAACAAUAUAUAUAUAUAUAUACACACACACACACACACACACACAUAUAUAUAUAUAUAUAUAAUCGGGGCGGGGCGGGUCGGGGCGAGGAUAACCCACUCCCUGCCCCGAACCCGAUAAAAAACCCGAUAACGACCCGUUACCCGACCCGAAAUGAUCGGGUUUCGGGUUUCCCCAUCGGGUUCGGGUUUUUUUGCCAUCCCUAUUCAUAAGCGGUUUGUUUUGUGAAAAGAACGAGUUCCUUUAGUUUCCUGAAAAAGUGGUUAACCAAGAAAAUCUCAUAUUUUCUUAAAUACAAGACCGAUUGAAUAUCACACAGUAUAGUUUAAUACACAAAACUAUAUAUUGAGAAUCAUGGGAUUACUAUCCCGAAUUAGAUAUAAAAUACUUUGAUAUAUGUGAAUUGUAGAUGGAAAGUAGUUUGAAAACCAUGGGACUGACAUCCCGUACUAGAUACAAGAUAGUUUGAUAUACAUGAAAAUAUAGAUUGAAUACCAUGGGACUACCAUCCCGAACUAGAUACAAGAUAGUUUGAUAUAUAUGAAAAUAUAGAUUGAAUACCAUAGGACUACCAUCCCGAACUAGAUACAAGAUAGUUUGAUAUACAUGAAAAUAUAGAUUGAAAACUAUAAUUGUUCUUGUGAAUUGUAAAGUUUAGCUAUCUGAAUUGUUACCUGUUUCUGGUUACAUACUACUGUUACCCAGGAAAAUCCUAUAUUUUCCUACUUGUGUGUGUGUGUGUGAAUUGUCUCCUGAAAGUCUGAUUAUCCUUAAAUGUACAUUAGUUUUAUUACGUACAUAAAACUAAUAAUUAAGUGCAAAGUGUUCCUAAUCUUGAUUCCGAGUCCUUAACCAUACUUCAGACUAGAUAUGACUCGGGCCAAGGCCAGUAUCCUUUUUAUGACUUUCAUCACCCUUGAACCUUUCGGUUCGACUGUAGCUAGCAGCCAGGUGCGGGAUUGUCAGUCCCGUAUAGAUCUAUACACUCAAGUCAUGUUCUCCCUCCAGGAGAUUCUGGUUACAGGGUUAGUCCUCCACUCUCUCAUGCCAAGGAAGUGUUACAGAGGACAUGACUCCAGUCUUAAGAUUACUCAUUACUUCUCGUGCCUAAAGGAAGUAGUAUCUAUGACUAACUAAGUUCUAAUGGUGCCUGUCCUUUACACUCGAGCCUAGGUGUUUUAUUAAGGACAUUACAAAUGUUUUAUGUUUUCUAAUGGUGUCUGUCUUUUACACUCGAGCCUAGGUGUUUUAUUACAGACAUUACAAAUGUUUUGUGAUCUAUAUCAUUAUAAGUGUGAACAAUCAAUUGUGAAGUAUACAACAUAAGAAUAUAUAAUAAGAAUUGAAAAUCGGUUUGAACAAACACUCUACAAGUUAAAACAGUUUGUUAAUAGGUUUUCAAUUCUUAAAAAGGUACGAAUUAUGAAACCAUUUAAAUGAAAUAAUGUAUUUAAGUACAAGAUAUUCUUGUACUUUUGCUUGUACUCCCCCCUGAAAACAUUUAAAAACCAUUGAAAAAGGGUAGGGGUAUGAACUCACCGAACGCAGAAUGUGACUACUAGGAUGCUAAACGUCGAAUCGAGGCUUGAAUACGAGCGAUGUUCCUAUGUAAUAUUAAAUAAUUCACAAAUAUAUCUAAUUAGAUUUAAAUUCACUAAUUAGAUACACUCAAACAUUCCAAGACGCGAAAACACUCCAUAUCGAGUGUUUGGAGUGACCCGGGUGACGUUUCUGGACAUGAAUGGCUAGGAUAUGGAGUUUACUCUUCAAGAGUAAACUAUAAGGAGUGUUCAUGGCCCUAUACACCCAUCCCCAUGAGUUUACGGCCGUAAACUCAUGGUGGGUGUUCUUAUGAGCUAAAUGGCCUUAAAUCAAAUGAGGGGUGUUGCUAGGUUUGGUUCUAGGGCAUUUGAUAGGGGCUAAAUCAAACAUAUGGACUAAUAGAUGAGUUUACGAUAGUAAACUAAGUGUUUACGGCCGUAAACUCUCACCCACAUCAUUCUUAAGUGUUUUGAAGGCCAAUGAUUUAUCACAAAUGAUUCUACUCAAUUUUACAAGCCAAGGGGUGAGUUUAGGGCAUCAAAUGACACAUAUUUAGGAGUUUACGGCCCUGGAGCAUAUGCUAUGGCCGUAAACUCUCAAAUGAAGGGUUUUGGUUAUGUUUAAGGCCCCCAAAUAAUUUUUGGUUGGUUCUAGGAUUUAUUCCAAGGCUUAUGAGGUGUGUAAGUUGCAUUUUAACACCCAAAAAGGAGUUUACUCCCCAUGAAUGGUGUUUACGGCCCAAGCUUGUUCUUGGGCAGUUUACUCAUGUUUACUCCUCAAAUGUUGAGUUUAAGGUGUUCUAAGUCCAAUCCAAUAAGUCCUUAAGCCAUAUCUAAGCUCCUAUGGUGAUUUGGAUGGGUUUUAAGGCUCAAAAACCCCAUUUACAUGUGUUCACGGCCUAAGGCUGUUCCAGGGCUGUAAACACAUGUUUAUGGUCCUAUUCUAUGAUUUGAACAUGAAAAUGAAGGCUAAGGAUGUUAUACUAGGAGCUAGGAUGAUUACCUUGGUGUUUUGAGGCUUGAAAUGGAUGAUUUUGGAUCGACAAGUUGGAUUUGUGGAGAGAGGUUAGAGAGAGAGUGAAAAGGAUCCAAAUGAGUCUUAAUUCACUUUAAAUAUGGUUUGAAUUUGAUACACGGUGGAAUUCUACUCGAUACCAACGUUAACCGAUGCUUUGAGUCGCACCCGAUUAAGUUGUCGUUACCCGAUAUGGUCGAAACUAUAAUUUUUCUAAUUAUUAGUUUGGGACGUUUUCACAUGUUUCCAACAUGUUUGGAUACUUACAAGGUCAAAAUAAAAGUAUUAACUUAAUUGACCUAGUUCAAAGAUGAAAUCGGAACAAUUUGCAUAAGACGAGUUUUAUUAACGAAACGGUUACGGUGAGGGAACAAAAUUUAGGGUUGUUACAGUUUUGAACAAAGGUACUUAAUUGUGUUUAAAUUGUAUUUGCAACAUAAAAGACAUGCUCGAGUCAAAAAGGAAGAUGGAUUAGCAAACGGAAGCUCAGGGAAGCAAACAAAGAAGAAAAUAAGGCUAAAAGAAUGAAGAACUCGGCGAGUUGGCCAUCUACUCGCCGAGUAGACACGAAUGUUUGUGAAGAAUUAAAGACUUGCCGCCUACAGGAAUUAAGCGAUGGACUCGCCGAGUCAGCUUAUGGACUCGACGAGUCGCCCCUGUUUUCAGAAAAUUAUAAAUAAGACAUGAUAGCCCGAAACAAAACCCCUACUGGAUCCCUUUAGCGACUUAUCUGCGAUUGAAGGGUUAUUGAAGCUCUGGAGUUUGAAGGUUUUUCCCUAGAGUUCAAUUUGAAAGUGAUUAAAGGCAACAUAUCUCUUCUUCUUCUUAAUCUAGUGAACAAAACCAUGCUUUUACUUCUAGAUUUCGUUUUUGAGUUAUUGCUUGUGGUAAUUAUGAGCUAAAACUCGUAACUUAUGUUUAGGGUAGAUUAACUUGUUAAUAUAGUUUGAUUUUAUGGUGUGGAUUAUGUGAUUUGAUGAAAACUGUUUUGCUAAGCUUGUAAUCGAUCCUUAUGUGUUGACAAUAACUGUUUUUCUGUUAAUUACCAAGUCUAUUAAGUUGCAUGAAGAUCCUCUUAAUUACUUUCUUCAUAUGCUUUAUGUGAAAACAACAUUAUAUGCCUAGUAUUAGUGAAUAUAAACCUAGGAUUAAUAGAAAACAGGUAAGUUAAUGUGUAAGCUUGUAUGAUGAACAACCAUACAAGGUGUUGAUUAAAUCAAUCAUUUAAUUAGCUAAACUACAAGUCUUACUUAACCCGAAUCAAAAUACUAGGAAAUUUCUUAGUUUAACCAAUCGGGCACUGUUUAAAUUAAUUUGUUUUCUAAGGAUUAAUAAUAGUGAACACGAGCCUAAUCACAUUUGUCGGUAGUCAAUGACAAAACAAUCCAUUGCACUUGCCAUAAAAUCAACUAUAGAAACAAGUGAGUCGAACCUAAAUAGAAGUCCCUUUUAUUAUUGAAUCUUGUUAUCUUCAAUCUCCUUAGCUAUUAGUUGUUUUUUUUGUUUAAAGUAUUAGUUAAUUGUUGAGUUUUAGUCUUUCAAAACUAGAGAAAACCCCUCCUUUUUAUUGUUUAUUUUAAUUAGGUAAUUUUAGUAGUUAAUUAGCUAUUACCGUUCCUAUGUUUGAUACCCUGCUUACUUGAACUAUGUUGCUAAACGAUACGUACACUGCCUUUUGUGUGUUUAUUUUUGUUUUAAGUAGUAGGAUUAAACUAGUGCAUUUUACACACAUCAAGUUUUUGGCGCCGUUGCCAGGGACGAUUUUAAUUAGUUAUCUUAAUUGCUAGAGUUAUCGAUCAUUUGUGUAAGAUUUAUCUUACAAAAAGUUACCAUUUUAGUUAAUUAGUUAUCUAGUUUUAGUUAUUUAUUAGUUUAUUUAGUUUUUGAAAAUUUCUCUUGAACUCGUUGAGUCCAGUCGAAUUGAUUCGACGAGUCCCUCGUAAAUUUUGCAAUUUCAUUUUAUUUCAUUUUUGUUCUUUUUACACGUGUUUUCUAUUUUCUUACAUGUAUUAUAUGACCCUAGGCUCAAAUACACCUUUAGUCCCACCAUUCGAAGACCCGGAAUCCGCUCUUAGGAAGAACAAGGAUAAAGUCAUUGAAGACACUAACCCGCCAAAGAAAUCACCUUUCAAACACCUUUAAAAAAGUCUUUGGGAAGAAGAAAAGCAAGAAAGUGGGUGAGUAUAGCAGUCAGAAGAGUGAGGGAAGCAAGAUUGAUGUAACACCCAUAAAAAUCAUGCCGAUUUUAAACUUUUUAAAAACAUAUAAAAACCCAAUUACAAAUUCGUUUUCAAAAUAGUCUAUAUCAAAGUCUCCCAGAAACAAAGUCAUAAAAAAUGAUGAGCGGUACGAUCAUGCCUUUGCCUUGCCACGGUCCCCUGAUGUACCUGAAACAAUAAACUGAAACUGUAAGCCUAAGAGCUUAGUGAGUUCCCCCAAAAUACCCAUACACACAAUAAUACACAUAUAAACAUAAACAUCAUACUAUGGGUACAGUCAACCAUUGGGUUGGAAUACCCCAGGUCCUCAACCAUCCGGNACAUAUUACGGGUCCAAUCAUCCUCGGGUUGGAAUACCCCAGGCCCACAAGCGACAGGUUGGAAUGCCUACAUACUAUGAGUCCAAUCAUCCUCGAGAUGGAAUACUCAUGGCCCACAACCAACAGGUUGGAAUGCCCAGGUCUAUUGGCUUCUACACAAAGAAGAUAAGCCUCAACCGCCAAACAAACAUGUACACAUAUAACAUAUAAUCACAUAAUAGUCUAUAGACAACAAAUUGAUCUAACGGAUCAUACCACAUAACACAUAAUACCAUCCUAUCUACCAGGAUACUGAUCUAACAGGUCAUACCACAUACCACAUAAUACCAUCCUAGCUACCAGGAUACCGAUCUAACAGAUCAUACCACAUACCACAUAAUAUCAUCCUAUCUACCAGGAUACCAAUCUAACAGAUCAUACUAGCAUAACAUAUCCAGAUAACAAUCGAAAGGGUCGACCUUGGUGCCUUACACCCUUGAGUAUAGUGAGGAUAACUCACCUCGCAACCGUCGACUCGAAAGAUAAGCUCUAACUCUCAGAUCACCGCCACAAACUCCACCACCUAUAUUCACCAUAGAACCAUACCCAUAAAUUUCCAACUUCCCAAAAUGCCCUAGAAGUCAAAACGUCAACCCUUCAUCAAAGUCAAAGUCAACGAUCAAGGUUAACAAUCCAUGUUGACCCGACUCGUCGAGUGCAAUUACUGACUCAUCGAGUCCUUCCAGAACUCAAGUAGUCAUGAAAACCCCCCACUGACUCGUUGAGUUUCCCUGCAACUUGCCGAGUCUAAGCGUGUCUAAUGUUGGGAAAACCCUAGUUGACUCGUCGAGUCACCCAUAUGACUCGCCGAGUCCAUGCAGAAGUCCUUGCACGACAAUCUUCAUUGAACUUGCCGAGUUGACCAUGCAACUUGCCGAGUCCUUUCAGUCCAUUAUCCAUUCAUAUGCUUUUUAAGCCAUUUUAAGGUUCCAUAUUGCAGAUCCAACUUCCUAAGGCAUGCUUAUCACGUAAAGUUGCAAACUUUACGUGCAUGCAAGGUUCUAAAGUCUUAUAAUGUCAAGACCAAGCUUGUAAUGGAGUUUUACACUUAAAGAGACGUUCAUACAGGGCCGGUCCAAAUAUAUAUGGGGCCCAGGGCGAAAAGACAAAAAGGGCCUCUUAAAGACAAAUAUAAUAAAAAUUAACAAAAAAUAUCUUUUAUUCUUCACUAUAAACACGUUCAAUUAGCAAUAACAAACAAGCUAAAUUGUUUAUGUUUUGAGCUGGUUUAAGUUUGAACCAACUUUAGGCCCUAAAAAUCAUUUUAGUAAUAAUUGGUUUAUAUAUAUACACUAUAUAACCCAUAAAUUUUGGGCCCCUGGAGUCGUGGGCCCUAGGCGGUCGCCCGGGUUGCCCACCGUCUGGACCGACCCUAGGUUCAUACUUGCUAAAGCUGAGAGCUUUAUGGGCUUAGAGACCAAGGAGAGUUCAGAUAUGAAGUUACAACUUUAGAUCUUAGCUCAUACCCAAGAAUAGCUUCUUAUUAUGCAAGAAAACCCUAAUCUUUAAGAAAAUGAGAUCUAGAAUGAAAUUAGGUCAAGGUAACGACUUGAUACCUUCCAAAAGAUGCUAACUGAGGCAGAUAACUGAUCCCCACACAUUCCUUGCUUCUAGCCACUUGCUCUCCGAGCUCUUCUUACAAAGAUCCACCUUUCAAAUCUUAAACACACAAGAAUGAAGCACACACACAAAUUAGGGUUUGUGGGACUCUCAAGAGGCUGUAAGGGGGAUAAGGAGGCUUAUGAUCCUUUAAAUAGGGUGCAAAACCCCAAAAAUUAGGGUUUCAUCCUCCAACUCCUACUCGUCGAGUCCUAUCUUGGACUCGACAAGUAGGUCACUUAAACAUGUUGCCCAAAUCGCUUCUACUCGAUGAGUUAGGGCAUCCAACUCGUCGAGUAGACCUUUCAAUUUAUGAAAAUCAAUGCCAUAAAGUUAUCACCUGAGAGCUGGGGAGUUAUAAUUAUUCCCCAACUUGAACUAGACUUCUUCCUCGAAGUCUUAUGCAGUGAACAACCCUGGAUAGUGCUCCCGCAUUUUCGCCUCCGAAUCCCACGUCCACUCGGACCCUCUUUGGUGCUCCCACUGUACCUUUACCCAAGGUAUAUCUUUGUUCAGCAGAACCUUCACCUUCUUCUCCAGAAUGGCGACAAACCUCUCAACAUAAUUCAGGCGCUCAUUGACCUAAAUGUCAUCCAAUGAUACUACUGCCUCCUCAUCCAGAAUGCAAUUCCACAAUUGCAAAACGUGAAAGGUGCUGUGGAUCCGAAUGAGCUCCUCCGGUAGCUCUAACCUGUAUGCCACCUUGCCAACCCUGGCCACGAUCCUGAACAGCCCAAUGUAUCGGGAACCCAAUUUUCCCUUCUUCCUAAAGCGGAUCACAACCUUCUAGGGCGAGACCUUCAGGAGUACCAUGUCACCGACCUAGAACUCUAACUCGGAUCGGCGUCUGCCGGCGUAACUCUUCUGCCGACUCUGAGUGGUCUAUAGCCGCUGCCUAAUCUGUUAAAUCUUCUCGGUAGUCUACAAGACUACCUACGUCCGCCCCAUCACCUUAUGUCCGACCUCAUUGUCACACCCUCGAACUGGACGGCGGAAACGUCCGAGGGCUUGUGUGACGAACAAUUGAAUACCAUUACAAUGAAUAUACAUGAAACAAACACAUACAUCACCAACAUUACAGAGCACAACUUACAUAGUUCACAUCAAGUACAUUAAACAAAUAUUACAUAAUUAUAACGUAUAUUCAUUUGAGAGUUCACAAAACAUGAAAGCCUAAUACGCUUGACAAUUAUCUUCUACUUAUCUGUUACUUGAGAAUACAUGUUAUUUGAAAACGGGUCAACAUAUAUAAUGUUGGUGAGUUCAUAAGCGUGUUUGAUAUAAAAAAUGAUUUGUAUCGUUGUACAACCUAAAAAAUCUGAUAGUUUCUGAAAUAAAAUAUGUUUAUGGAAUGAUGUAAUGAUCCAAUAUAGGUAAAUGUAUACGUGAUUUCAAAACAUGUAUAAUUGUAUGAAUUUCCCAAAAGUGCUCAUUUUAUUGUAUUUGAUGUGUUAAAUAAAUAAUAUAAAUUUCCCGGAAAAUCCGAUAUUUUCCGAUUUAAAACAGUAGUAUGAUUUUGUAUUAUCGCAUAAACCACAUUGAAUAACCACCACGUAUAAAGUUAAUUUCCCAUGAUUGAUGAAAUGGCAAUGGAUCUCUAUGUGAGUCGUUAUAACCAUGCAUGAUAAUGACUAUUUCGCCUAUCUUGGCAUUUUUAUAAAUGCCGGUUUUGAUUAAGAUUUUGUUACCAUAGACUGGCCGAGUCUAACUGUAGCGAACAGCUCAGGUGUGGGGAGUCACCCCCAUAUAGAUCUAUACACAAACUCUCGCUCUCUCUCCAGGAGACGCUGGUUACAACUUACAGACUACGAUCGACACUUACUGGUGCCGACCGAUAUUUUCUCACUAAGACCCCAAUAUUACCCAUGAAUUUGAAUGACAUUGAUUACAACUCGUUUGAUGUUUACAUAGUAUAGAAUAAAGCCUAACAAACACGAAAAAGGACACUGUGGCCCACUAAUCAUGUGUGUCCUUUAUAUACUGUCGAGUAUGCUUAUGGACGUUUGAUUUGGACCAUACUAGCAAUGCAAAUGGGCCACUAAGGCCCAAUAGCACGUAAAAGCCAUAGAGGGUCCCAUAGGCAUGUAAUUGGGUCACCGGAAACCCAAUAAACAUGUUUUGAUUAUAUUGGGCCUAAUAAUUGUGAAAUUGGACCACGAAGGCCCAAUGGACACAAUGAGUAACAUUAGGCCCAAUCAUUGUAUUAUUUCUCUGUUUUGGAUAUGUUUGUAAUAUAGAAUUGGUUUUAUGCUUAGUAUUUAUUUUCAAUAGUAAAACACUUGACGUUGAAUUGUAACGACACUUUGGUUAUAUAUAUAUAUAUAUAUAUAUAUAUAUGACAAAAAAUAUAAUUUUUUCAAAAACAACAAAUAGUAUAAUUCAANNNNNNNNNNNNNNNNNNNNNNNNNNNNNNNNNNNNNNNNNNNNNNNNNNNNNNNNNNNNNNNNNNNNNNNNNNNNNNNNNNNNNNNNNNNNNNNNNNNNNNNNNNNNNNNNNNNNNNNNNNNNNNNNNNNNNNNNNNNNNNNNNNNNNNCAGGUGUUAUAAACUUAAUAUCUUUGGCCAUAUUUGACCCCAAAAUAUUUAUUCGACCAUUUUAGCCCAUUUUUCAUAUAAAGUUACAUUUUUAGUCCCUUUUGAUGAAAAAUAAUAUUUUUGGUCCUUAAAUCUCUUUUCUUGACAUUUUCGGCCCAAACAUAAUUUAUAUUACAAUUUUAGCCCAAAAAUAUAUUACUUGAUAUUUCCAGCCCUUAUUUGUAAAAAGGUUUACACUUUUGGCCCCAAAUUUUGUAAGUUUUACAUUUUUUAUCCAAAUUCUAAAACUUUGCAGUUUAGUCCAAUUCUUGCAAUAAAGAUCAUUUUCAGCCCCUGAAAUAGUUUGUUUGUGUUUUUGACUCAUACUUUAAGUGAAUUUACAAUUUCAACCCCAAAACUUCUCAUUUUUACAAUUUUGGGCCCAAAAUCCCGUAAGGCCCAAAUGUAAGCCCAAUAGACUAAAAUUUAUAUUUUUGACCCCUUGAAAGGUAUUAUUUUCAUAAAAAUCAGAUUUCAUAUAAAUAAAUACCAUAUAACCCUUAUAAAACCGAAAAUGUCAUAUUUUACCUAAAUUUUUGUUAUUUUUGCAAAGAUGAUACUUAUACAAUCUUUUGCUUUGUUUUUCCUUUAUUAUACGUAAAAGCACUUAUAUCCUUAAAGUAUGUUGUUUAAUAUGCUUUUGUUUAUGAUUCUUUCUCAUUUAUACUAGAGAUUUCGAAAUAUAUCAAGCAUUAUCACAUUUUUCACAACAAUAACAAAAGAAAUCACACAUAACAUGCAUACAAACCUAGAGAAACACAUAACACUUGUAUUCUCCCCCCAAAAACAAGUAAAAACCGAAAAAAAGGGGGUAUGAACUCACCUUGAGGUUUUUUUUUCGGUUUUGAGGAAGAUAUGGAGAGAUUUUUGGUCCUAGCAACAACUUGGAGGGACUUUCGAACUUAGAGGAGUUCUAGGAUAUUAGAUCAUUAAAAAAAGCUAUGUAAGAAGGAGUUUUAGUAUUAAGAUGGAAGUAGAUGUUUGUGUUUAAUACCAACUUACCAAAGGUUGAAAGACUUGAUGAAGAUCCUUAAAAACUCAAGCAAAAUUCGAGUAUCUUGAUGGAAGAUGGAGAGUGAUCUUGAAGGCGGUUUGGAGAGGAUUAGAAAAUGUGUGUGUGUGUGUGUGUGUGUCUUUUAGUUUUGGCGGAGAGGAAGAAAAAAGGGAGGNUUCAUGGAUGUAUGAUAGAAAAAAUGGAGGUGGCAUUCCAAAGUCAACCCUCCCCCUUUAAUUCUCUUCUUUAUUUUUUUGUUUUUUUAUGAUGAUGGGCCGAGAGGGAGAAAGAAGAGAGAUGGAAUGGGCCUUUAAUGCUUGGUUCCAACAAUAGGAGGCCCAUUUUGAUGGUUUUCAGCCCAUUGGGCCCUUAGGAGGGUUUACGACCCAAUUAGAAUGAAAGAAUGGGUUUCACGGCCCAUUGAAGUUUAUUAGGUUUGUUAUGGCCCAAUAAGGCCCAUUAGGGUAAUUCAUUUCAUUUUAGGCCCAAAAUGUAAAGUCUCAUGAAAGUGGGUCCAAUUAGGGCCCAUGUAAGGGUUCUAAGCCCAAAAAUCAAAUUAGAAGCUUAUUGGCCCAUUGGGCCCAAUAAGAAAAUCCUAGUCCAAAAUAGACUUAAGUCGGGAUUCUUAGAGUUUCCAAACCCUAAUUUGAUCUUUGUAGUGUUUUGCAUGAAGUUUGGGCUUUAUAAUUGGAUUUUGAUGAAAGUUUGUUGUUAUUGAAUAACAUCAUAUGCAUUAUUAGGUCAAGGUUAUAAUUUAUUGUCAUUCAUAUUGUUUAAAAAGGAUAGAAUUUCCUAGCCAAAUUUGCUAGUUGUGACACUCACCCCAACAAACCAGGGUGCGACAUCUCCGACCAUACAACAGCUCGAAAGGCGGGAUGCCAAUGCUGGAAUGAUAGUUGUUAUUAUAGGCGAACUCUGCAAGGGGUAGGUGGGAAUCCCAUCUCCCACCGAAGUCAAUGACCCACUCCCUCUACAUAUCCUCAAGGGUCUAAAUGGUCAGCUCGCUCUGACCGUCAUUCUGCAAAUGAAAAGUUGUACUAAAAUGCAGCCGCAUGCUCAGUUCCCCGUGGAACUUUUGCCAGAAACGGGAGGUAAAUCUAACAUCUCGGUCUGAAAUAAUGGAGACCGGAACCCCAUGGCGAGCGACGAUCUCGCGAACAUACACGUCAGUCAACUUCUCGGCCGAUGAAUUCUCCAGUAUAGCCAAGAAAUGGGCACUCUUGGUCAAUCGAUCCACGAUGACCCAUAUAUCAUCAAACCCUUUUGCCAUUCUUGGCAGCUUGGUAAUGAAAUCCAUCAUGAUUUGUUCCCAUUUCUAGAUGGGAAUCUCCAGGGGCUGUAGCAUAUCAUGCGGCCUCUGAUGCUCGGCCUUAACCAUCUUACAGGUCAAGCACCUCUUGAUGUACCAAACGAUCUCUCGCUUCAUACAUGGCCACCAGUAACUAAAACUCAGGUCUCUGUACAUCUUGGUGGCCCCCGAGUGAAUAGAGAAGUGAGACUUAUGAGCCUCCUCCAUGAAUGUCUGUCUAACCCCACCAGACAUCGGAACCCAUACCCGACCGUAUCGGGCACAAACUGGGUGUUCUCACCCCUGAUCCUCUCCAACUUCCAGUUCUCUGGUCGCAUGCCCUCAACCUAAGCAUCUUUGAUCAAACUCACAAGAGGAGAAUCCGCUGCUAUUCUCAUACAUAUCGUUGGGGGUAGAAGGCCCACCUAACUUGCAGCUCAAGGCGUCCGCCGCCAUAUUCGCUUUAUCGGGGUGGUAAAGGAUCUUGCAAUCGUAUUCCUUGACUACAUCCAGCCACCUGCGCUGCCUCAUGUUUAGGUUAGGCUGAUCCACGAUAUGCCUCAAGCUCUUGUGAUCCGUGUAUAUGGUAUAACAGACCCUAUAUAGGUAAUGCCUCCAAAACUUGAAAGUGAAUACCACUGCCCCCAGCUCCAGAUCAUGUGCAGGGUAUCUCGUCUCAUGCGGCUUCAGCAACCGUGAUGUGUAGGCUAUCACUCGUCCUCUCUGCAUGAGGACCGCCCCCAAAACUGUGAUGUAUGCAUCACAGAACACCACAAAAUCCUCAACUCCCUCCAGAAGAGUCAAAACAGGAGCCUCGCAUAAACGCUGACGGAAUGUCUCAAAUGCCUUCUGCUGCUCAGGUACCCAACGAAAAUCCACCCCCUUCCUCGUCAGACGAGUGAGGGGUACUGCAAUCUUGGAGAAGUCCUGUAUGGAUCUCCGGUAGUACCCUAAUAAUCCCAGAAAACUCCUGAUAUUUAAGGGAGAUCUCGGCACCUCCCACUGCAUGACUGCCUCGAUUUUGGUCGAGUCGACCAAAAUCCCAUCCUGGAACUCUCGUAAUCAAAACUUAAACUUAGAGAACUUGGCAUACAGUUGUUCCGAUCUCAGAACUCCCAAUAACUCCCUGAGGUGCUCCUUGUGUUGUUCUUGGGUCUUGGAAUACACCAAGAUAUCAUCUAUAAACACGAUAACCAAGCGAUCACGCAUCGGUCUGCAAACCCGAUUCAUUAGGUCCAUAAAUACUACUGGCGCGUUGGUGAGCCCAAACGGCAUCACCACAAACUCGUAAUGUCCAUAACAGGUCCGAAACGUGGUCUUCUCCAAGUCCUCCUCUCUAACCCGGACUUGAUGAUACCCAGACCUCAAAUCUAUCUUGGAAAACCAAGAUGCACCCUACAACUGAUCAAAGAGAUCAUCUAUCCUUGGGAGUGGAUAAUGGUUCUUCACCGCCAACUUGUUAAAAUCACUAUAAUCAAUGCACAUCUAGUGCGAACCGUCCUUCUUCCUAACGAAAGAGUAUUGGCGCUCCCCACAAGGAACUUCUCAGACGAAUGAACUGCUUGCCCAAUAGUUCCUGCAGUUGUGAUGACAGCUCCUGCAUCUGUGGUGGUGCAAACCGGUACGACGCUUUGGAGAUAGGGGCCGCACCCGGCACCAGGUCGAUCUGAAACUUGACCUGCCUCUCUGGUGGUAUCCCUAGCAACUCCUCGGGAAACACAUCAGCAAAAUCCCUAACUAUUAGAACCUCUUAAACUGAAAUCUGAUCCCUGGCUCGCGUAUCCACCACAUACACUAGAUAACCCACACAUCCGUGCUGAAUAUACUGCUGAGCCCUGGCAGCUGAACAAAACCCCGAUCCCACUUUGGUGCCCUCGCUAUAUACAACUAGUUCUCCCCCCACUUGGGGUUCGAACUACUAAUCACUGACCCUCAUAAUCAAUUAUGGCACCGAAUCGACUAAGCCAGUCUAUCCCUAAAAUACCUACAACUGCCUCAUGGGAAUCAAAAUCAAGUCUACCGGGAAGGACUCCACGAAGAUCUCUAACUCACAUCCUCGGUAACGAAGAAGCAGAAACCCUGUGUUUGUUGGUGAUAGAGACUCGCAAUGGACACUCAAGCUUGCCUACCGGCAUACUAAACUCCCUACUAAAUGUCUGAGAUACAAAUGACCGACUCGCCCUCGAGUCAAACAAAACCAAUGUAGGAAAGGAGUUCACUAAACACGUACCUAACCAUAGGUAGAACAGAUAAGCAUAAAACAAUUAUAACAAUAGAAAUAGAGAAUAGAAACAUACCAGCAACCACGUCCAGCGCCACCCUGGCCUCCUCAGCCGUAAGCUGGAAGGCACACACCUGAGCCUUCGGAGGCUCUUCCUUAACUGGCCUCCCAUCCGUAAUCCUCAAAGUAGUCGGCGCUGGAGUCUGCACAGGCUUGGAGGCUAGAAGAGGACAUUGGGCCUUCAGAUGGCUCACCUACUCACAAUGAUAACAAAGUCAAACUCUGGGAGCCGGAGUAUGCUGUCUGCAAUCCCUGGCCAGAUGGCCUUGCUUGCUACAUCAGUGACACCCACUCCCUGAUCGGCAUGUCCCUGAAUGAGCCUUUCUGCACUUCCCACAACUGCGGCCUGGCUGUUCCCCAGUCCUGGUAUCAGUGGUCUUAGACCGCUUCGGUGCCGACUGCGACUGCUCCGGCUGUAACUACGUCGGGGCCUGCCGCUGCGCCGAAACAUCAUUUCUUUAUGAGUUGUUAAUGGAGUGUGUGUGGUUAACUGAUACACUAAUUUGGGACGAUAAAGAUGAAACGAUGAAACAACUCGUGUUUAUGAUUGUUUAUGGAGCGUAUGUGAUUAACCGACACAUCAUUGGGUGAUCAUAAAUCGAUUGAGGAUGUUUGAAUGAGUUUGCAUGAUUAUUCACAUCUUAAUUGUGAUUAUCGGCAUCCCAGUCACAACUUCUAAGUGCAUAAUCUGAGAUUUGUCAUGUCAUUGAUAAGAUUCAAUGAAUCUCAAAAUAUAUAGGAGUUUCAUAUGAUUGAAAUUGGUGAAAUGCUUCUACCUACCUAAAAUAGUUUCGUAAUAUGACUUCAACAUCGCUCUUCUGAUUACGAAAUGAAAAUAUGGAUCUUGGCCUUAAUUUAAAUUUUGGGUUAAUAAUUAAGGAUUAAAAUAUACUAACUUGAAUUCUCUCUUUUCCCACCUUUAGAUUUAUAAUGAAGAAAAAAUGGUCUUCCUCAUUCUUAUGGAAAUGGUUGUCCUCAAGCAUUUGUAGAUGGGCUUCCAAAUUCAAGUCAAGGUGAAAUUGUGUUCACUUCCUUAGGUAAUGGUGGAACAGGACAUGAUCUCUCUUCAACUCUUCCAAAUCCUCUUCUUAUGACUAUCCCAUCAUCAUGUUUCCUCAAGUUGAAAGAUAUGAGACUACUCAAGUCUUAUUGGCAUGUAAAUAUGAAGAUGGAAAUUCUAUGUGUGUGCAUGUUCCAAAAAUGAAAUGUACAUUGACAAGUUAGAAAAGAUGGGUGUCUGACGUUUCGUAUUCCCAAAGGAGCAAGCCCAUGAUUUGGUUCUUCUUUCACUUCCAAACUCAUAUGGCCAAUUCAUUAAGAAAUUUCAUAUGAGGAAUGUCAACAUGACACUAAUUGAUCUGACCCGUAUGUUAAUGGUUGUUGAAGCAGAAAUUCUUAAGAGGACUAAUUCCAAUAAUUCCAUGGAUAAUGAAAAUGGUAACAUUGGUGAUCGAGAAAAUAUUUCUCUUUCCAAUCGUAAGGGAUCGGCCAAGGUUAAAAUAUUUCAUCGUACAAUAAAGUGAAAGGGUGAGGGUUAGUUUGAGAUCAUUCCACAUGUUGACCCCAAUGAGUCCAUUUGUUUCUACUUCCAAUUGAAGGGUCAUUGGAAACGAAGCUGCCCAAAAUACCUGAAAGAUCUUGAAGACGGUAAAGUCAAGUCGUGUGACUCUACUUCAAGUACAUCCAUUAUCUAACUCCAUUAUAAGUUCCUAUUCAUAGACUCUUAAUACAUGAUGUGAUGAUCACAUUUUGAUGGUAUUGCAUGAUCUAAAAGAAAGAAUGAAGCUUAAGAAAAGUGAGUUGAGUCUAAUCAUGGGAAAUGGACUUUAGUUACAUGGUUCAAUGGUCAAAAUUUGGAGCUACUACUAAGGAGUUAGGUUAAUUUAAUAGAUUGUUAUUUCAGAGAUGUAUAGAAACAUAAAUUUUCAUUUUAUGAAUAGUAAGGACAAGUUCUAACUUUCCUUUUAGCAAUAAAAUGAAGUUUUGUUUAUAAAGUUGUCUUAUUUAUAUUUCCUUGCAAUGGAAUUGAUAAGUGUGUUGAUUAUGUUUCUAAUAAUAGCAAUAUUAAUUAUGGAUUUGAUUCUUCUAGGGCAUGCUUAUCGCAUUGUCAUUUUUUGACAAGUAGAAAUAAAUCUCAUCACCAAGUUGUAAUUAGACAUAAAAUUGAAGUGAUACAAUUUAAAUUGAAUGAUGCAUGAGAAUCUUGUUCAUUGGAAAGUUAUGAAUAGUUUAUUAUUCACAUGUCCAUGUGACACAAGUGAAGGACUGAUGGCUAUAGUACAUAUUGAUAUGGACUCUUCAAAUCCACCAUAAGGGACGAUAACUCAAUUUGUCAUGAUUGGUUAAUGCUUCAGUAAAUAUGAUAUUGUUUAUAAGAUUCAACAAAAUUAUAAUACUUUUAAAAAGUUCAAAGAGUAACAAAACAAAGAGAAAUAAUCUAUUAGGCAGAAAGAUAAAAGAUUCUCCACUCUGAAAGGAAAGGAGAGUGCUUUAGUAUCAUGUGUUAUGAUCAUCUUAGUAAUUAUGGAAUUGUAUCACAACUGACUCCUCCAAGAACAUCUUAGUUCAAUUUUAUGACUAAAAAGAGGAAUCGAACAUUGUUGGAAAUUAUUCGAUCAUAUAUGAGUCAUGCUUAAUUCCCAAAUAAAGUUUUAGAGCCAGUCUCUAGUAACUCUAAAUUGUAUCUUGAAAUUAUUUCAAACUAAGAAGGUCGAUAAUGUUGGGUUUUAUGUACUCUAACAUCCCAAUGGUGCACAUACAACCCUAAUGCUUUGUAUCUAUGUUUUCUCUAGUUAUACACGCAAUAAAAUUAUCCAAAGCAUAAAGCCUACAACUAGCAUACAAUUUGAUAUUUGAAUCAUAAAACUAGUAAGAAGAUUACAUCUUUGUUGUAGCUUGUUGUAUUUGGCCUUUAGGAGCUUAGUGCCUCAAAUGUUGCACCUAUAAUGGAAUCACAAGACAUCAUGAACAAUUGGAGGACUUGAUAGAGAGUUUUGGAGACACAAAAUCGACUAGGUCCUACUUAGAACACACAAGUGCGAUUUUAGGGUUUAGGGAAAUACAUAUAUAGUGUAAAAUUCCAAGAGUCAUAUGUAAACCCUAAUUCUUAAACUUAGACUUAUGACCCAAUAACUCAUAUGGACUAACUCUUCAUGGACUCUCUCACAUAAACUUAGUCCAUCAUGGAUCAAUAGCCUAAACCAUAUGUAUCACUGAUUUACAUAAUCAGUAUCCGUUAAUUUAAUUGGUUUCUGUUGAUCACUAAAUUAAUUCCAAAUUAAUUCUUGAUCAAUACUAAUUAAAUAAUGUAAUUUCACUAUUAAUAUAUUAUACAUAUAAUAUAUUAGUAAAUCAUAAAUAACCUCUUUCUCAAAUAUCCAUCCUAUCAGAUUGUUUUGGUGAAUGCAACCCAAAAGGCCAUGCUACUCUUGGGUCAAGUACAUACCAAUUAUAGUUAUGGGCUUAGACACCUAAUCCAUUAGUCUCCCACUUGGAUAAGUAUAAUAACUAUAACUGAAAGUACGACUUCAAGAACCAACUAGUAAUCGUAGCUCUUAAAAGCUGAUGUCGAACUCUGACGUGUCCUUUAGAUAAGGGAUCAUAUAUUCCUCCAUUCUAGAUAUCGUAUAUACUGUGACAUGGAUUAUAAUCAUUCUCUUUGUCCAUAUGUUUUUUCCCGAGUUCCGAUUUAUGAUGACUGACUAAUUGAACAAAUGAAAUCAGUCCAGGCUUGGCCAAGUGCUUAGGGUUGUCAUCACUAAAUCAUCGAGGGUCCCACAUAUAUCACUUUUAUCCCUCUAAGGGUAAAAGGAACGAAUAAACUUUGAAUCAUAUGCUUGCUCAAUUUACUCAUCAAAUCACACAUAAUAGUAUGUUUUAUAACACCAAGUUACUGGUGCAUUUACAUAAUAUCAAUGUGCAACCUAUUUAUAAACUGCAACUAUAUGUCUCCGUUUCAAGAAUAUAAGAUACUAUCGUCUCAAGAAUCACUCGUGAUAAAAUUCAUGAAGUGAUUCAGAUGAGCGUGUGUUUAAUCCAAUACUCAGAUCUUAUUACAGGAGUACUCAUGAACACCACAACAAACUUUUUCUAUAUCUAAAACCCUUAGACAAUCUAAAGUCAGAUUCAUGACAGUCUUACCUCAAUACGUACUUCCAAAGUAUGAUCGAUUGUGGAUAGUUUGAAUAAUCUUAUUAUUCGGGAAGUCAAAACAUGCACAGUGAAACACAAGAAUAAUCGAAUUCAAUAUGGUCUCAAAACUUUUGAAUAUAAAUAAAACACAUUUUAUUUAAUCACCAUAUUGAUUACUCAUUAUUCGUUGUAUAAUGUUUCGAUUUAUCAACUUAAUACUUGAAUUAAAACAAUAGUUAUCCCAUGCUCCAAGCAUUCACACUAUGUUUGUCUAUGGUCCUUACUAUAUGAAAUAGAUCAAUCAAAAAUAUUUCAAUGAUGCUCAUUUCAUAAUUCCAAAUCCUUAUUACUUAGUAUAAGAAAACAUAAUUCUUACCAUUAUAAGACUGUGUUAGAUUCUAAACUAUCAUGCAAUGUACCUUUUGUAAUGUCGAGGUACCAAAGUCACAUAGACUUUGCCAAUGAUAUUACAAAGAAUUACGCUAGAUAUUGAUAACAAAACCAUUCCAAGGAAGCAAAGUCUCAAAUUCAAAGUACAUUCAUUUAAACAUCCUUCUUGCAUAAAAGUUUCUAACCUUCACAUAGAUUCUUUAUAUCCAACUCCCAUUAUGGAUACAUUGCCAUAUGACGACUCAUUAUUAAUUGAAUCAUGUAUAUUGAUAAUAAUGUCAAUAUGGUCCAUUCAUUACCAUACUUGCAACUACAAGCGACCAAUCCUUAGCGAACUUUAGAUCAUCCUUGAAAAUUGUUUAAUCACUUUAGUCAUAUCCGGUUCUAGUCCUUUUUCUCUCUUAAUGCCCUAGGCAUUUUGAUAAAUAGAACGCGUAACUAUUAUAGCAUAUGCAAUCGAUCCUGUACCCGAGUCAUAUGGGAUACGAUUCAUAAUGUCUUACAUAAAGACAUGAUACUUGACCAGUCUCUUGCUAUAAUAUUUCCAUAUAUAGAAUUUCCAAUGUUGAAGCAAUUCAACAUGGUAUUCAUACAUAUCCAUGACAAAGUUUUAUUAAUGCUUCAAUCUAAACUUUUAGAUUCGAAAUAAAGUAUAAGUAUCCUAUCCCUUACUACAGCGAAACAACUUUUAAAACUUUACGACUUUGCAAAUUAGAACUUUGUUUCCUACAAAUAACAUUGCUAAUUUGCAGCACUUCGGAUAAUAAUCAAGCUCCCACUAUCAUGAUAAUUAUAUUCUUUCUGGCAUAACACUUAUGCUCCCACUAGCUUUGACAUGUACCUAGAAAUCAGUUGAAUCAAUACUUAUUGAAUUUCUUUCCAAAGUUCAGAUUUAUGAUACGAUAUGCUUCGAUAAGCCUUUAUCUAAGCUCAUAUAUAUUUUUAUAUGUGUGUAUAAACUAUUUCAGAAUUUACAACAAUAAGUUCCGAAUGUUCAAACUAUUUGCCAUUUCUCAUAAUUCGAACUAUGAAGAGGGAUGCUGAAAUCAUAAUCGAAUUUGAGAAUGCAAUUAGCAUAACUGCUAUCUCCUUAAAAUCUACUUAGUGAAAGCGUUUCCUCACAAUCAAUUUUAUGAAUUGGAGAGAAACCUUAUCACACUUAGAUUUUAUGGUGUAUAUGUUCCUAUCCAUGUGAAUUUGUUAUUUCUAACCAUUAUUAUAAGACAAGGUCUAUGAUAAAAUCAAACACAUAUGGACUAAACUUGUUUAAUCUUAAUUUCUUUCCACUUGGUAGCACUAGGGCCUACCAUGUCUUCCAAGUUCUUGAGCAGAUCACCCUUACUGAUCAAUGAACUUUCACUAAUAAAGGUGCUUUGCCUUAUGCAAUCAAUUGAGAACUCAUAGAACUCACAUGCAUAGUCAACUUUAACUGGAAUGGGCAUAGAAACAAGAAUAUGUCAGCACGAUAGGUUACAAACCUCAAGUUGUGUGCUAGUGAUAAACUAUAGGUUUAUUCUUGAUUAGUUCUUGAAACUUUUCAAGAUCUUUAAGACUCCCACUAGCCUCUUGACAUAUAAGAUUCUCUUGUCAAGAAACAUUCAUUGACACACAAAUAUUCAAGAGUUAGUAUGGAUUCUUAUCAAUAAUGACACUUCAUAUAAUUGGUCUUAGUUGGUCUUUGUUUUAGCUAAAACAUCACAACUACCAAUUUGAAAUAUGCAAGAGUUAGAAAAAAUUUCUAUUCCAUAUUUCGUGAUAUGUUAUAAACCUACUUAAGAUAUGUCACUCAAGUCACAAUCUUGAAGUAUGACUCUAAGACUCGAUUUUGGAACGAAGUAUGACUGACGUUAAUUGAUUUAACCAUUUCAAUAAUUCCUGAUUCCUCUUCUUAGCCAUACAAAUGCACUAAGGUGUCCUUAAAGGAUCAAUUGUGAUAUGGUUUUCAUAAUCAUUAAGAUAAUCAUAAAAUAUGAUACUAAAGUACUCUCAUUUCCUUUCAGAUUAGAUAAACUUUUAUCUUUCUGCCUAAUUGAUUCUUCUUAUUCGUUUUGCUAUACAUUGAAACUUUUUCAAUGAUUCAAAAUUACACUUAAUCUUGUAAGUGUAACCAUAUUUACUAACUUUAGUAAAUCAUGAUGAAUAAUCUUAUCGUUCUUGGUGGUGGACCUGGACCAUACAUAAGAAUUUAUACUAGAUUCCAAAGUCCUUCACUUGACUCACGAAUGCAUGUGAAAAAGGAAUUAGCCUUAAUUUACCAAAGAUGAACGUUUUCAUUCAUCAUGCAACACAAGUUGCAUGAUUCCAAGUUUAUAUCCAAUUGAAACUUGGGUGAUGAGAAUCUUUCCUUAUUUGGUAAAUUCUUGAUACUACUACAAAGGAAAGAAUCAAAUCCAUUUUCAACAUUGCUAACAAUAGAAACAUACAAACAUCAAUUUUCACAAAUGUCAUUGAAAGGAAAUAUAAAAUAAGAUAAAAUCAAAAAAUUUGUUUAUUUAUAAGAUGUGGAAAAACUUGUCCUUACAAUACAAUUACAAAUGAAAACUAUGUUACUACAUAUUUCUAAGCAAUCUAUCAUAACUCCUAAGUAGGAGCUCAAAAAUCCAAUCAUCGAACCAUGCGAUCAAAAUCCAUCUCUUCGCAAUCAGAUUAAUCAUGCUUUUCCUUUAAGUUUACUUUUGCUUUUCAUCGAUCCUAUAAACAUCAAAAUGUGAUCUCAUCACAUUAUGUAUUAAGAAUCUACAAAUAGGAACUUAAUAGAUUUAGAUAGUGGACUUACCUGAAGCAGAGUCAAACAUUUUGACUUUACCAUCCUUGUGGUCCUUUAGGUAGAUACGACAGCUUCGCAACCAAUGCCCCUUCUCUUGGCAGUAGAAACAAACAGAUUCUUUUGGAAUGGUACAUGGGGCAAUCUUAGACUUAGCCUUUUUCUUUACCAUUUGGUCAAACAGCUUGACCAUGGCCAAUCCCUUUCCAUUGGGAAGAGAAGACUUUUAUGGACUUCCAAUGUUGCCAUUGCCAAUGUCAAUGGAAGUUUGGGAAGUAGAUCUUCCAACCAAAUUUUCAUUACCAGUGCGUCAAAUCAUUGUUGAUUCAGCAACAAUAGCAAAUCGGUAAGAUCAAUAAGGGUCAACCCGCGGUCUGUCAUAUACUAAUCUUUAAUGAACUCACUAUAUGACUCAGGAAGUGAUUGAAGAACCAAGUUAACAACCAACUUCCUUGACACAACGACUCAUAACAUUCUUAACCUAUCAAUGUGCGACUUCUUCUCCAAGACAUGUGCACACACAUACCUUCCAUCUUGGUGUUUGCUUGCCAAUAGGGUUUGAGUGACCUUAAACUUUUCAAGUCUUCGAACAUCUGGGUCAGGGAGAAUUAUUGGAGGAGGUGGAGAAAGUGAAGCAUGAUUUUCAUUUCCACGAUCCAAUUGUGGACAUCAUCUUCAUGAGGAAAGCUUUUUCCAAAAGAUUUGGGAAGACGAUAGUUGUCAAAACUAGACAUCUACAAGGGAGAAAUUCAUGUUUAGUUGAUUUAAGUCCUUAAUAUAACACACAAAUGAAAUAUUAAGGCUAGGACCCAACAGAAUAUUCUACAAUUCAUAAAAGGGAUGCCAUAAUCCAAUUGUAAAAUAUUUAAAAGUAGGUAAAUGACGAUUUACCAAUUGCCACCACGAAAAACAAAAAUGAACAUUAGGUUUUAAAUUAAUUGAAAUUCCUACAUUCUUUUGAGAUUCAUUGAACUUUUUAAUGACAUGUUUAAUCUCGAUUAUGCCCUUCAAGUUUGUGACUGGGAUACCGAGGAUCACAAACAAGGUGAGAAUAACCAUGCAAAUGUGCUUGGUACUCUCGAUGUCAUUUAUCACCUAAUGAAUGUGCUGAUUAACCACACACACUCCAUUGAUUUACGACAAACAUCGAGCUACCCUUUUCCAUCCUUGUUAGUCCAAGUUAGUGUGCCGGUUAACCACACACACUGCACUAACAACUUGGCAAGGUGCAAAGUGCAAUUUCAUGGAUUAACACCAAAUUCACAUUUUCCUAAAGUAACUAAGAUUAAGGAAUUUAAAAAAAUAUUUAGUUACGUUAUUUCAUUAAACUUUUUAUUGAAGUUUGUGUCCUAUCCUACCUGUUCGGCUAACGACCAUCCACCAGUCAAGAGUGCGAUGGGUAAGAGUGUAUACCCUUUCAAUCGCCAUUCUAUAGGCAAUUUCCUUAAACACCCCGUAUAGACCAGCUUUGUGAAUGAGGCCUAGUAACGGUAAUACUGACCUUUUACUUAUACAUAUAUAAUAUAUUAAACUUUUAAUUUUAUAUAGUAUAAGGGUGUAUUUUAGACAUUUAAAAUACUUGAUGGUUUAAUCUAUUAAUAAAUUAUACUCUUAAUUUAAUUAAACUUAAACCAUGUUAUUAUGUAUUUUAUUAAUCAUCUCUUUUAAUUAAACAUUUAAUUAACUUAAUAAAAUCCAUAAGAGGUAAUUUGAACUUUUCAAAAACAUCAAGGCUCUAAAUAUAAAAAUUCAAAAUUAAAAACUAUUUAAUUAAAUUUUAAGUUAUGAACCUAAGAGUUGCAUAUUUUGAAACCUUUCAAUUAAAAGAGAUUUAAUGUUUCAUAAAUGAGACUUUUCAACUUUCAAAAAUUGAGGGCAAGUUUUGUAACUCUUGAAAAACUUUUGGAUUUCAAACUUGAUGACAAAUUUUGUAACUCCUUUACAAAAAAAAAACUUUUGAGUUCCAAAACUUGAUGACAAGUUUUGUAACUUUUCAAAACAUUUAGAUCAAAUUUAAAACUAAUAAAAAUAAUUAUACAUUCUUUAUCAUUUACCAAUUUGACCUAAUGCAACUCUUAUACCAAGACAACUUCAAAUCAAAGAAUACUAAUAAUUGGUAUAUCAUAUAAACUAGCAAUUAUCUUAAAAUUUGAAAAUUAUCUUUUAAUUAGAUGGGAUAAUCAUUACCAUAUCAGAAAAAUCAUAUUUUAUGAUACAAAACAGUUUAAGGUAAUGAUCCAAAUCCAAUUAUGGCCAAAAAAACCCAACAAAACGGCAAACAACAUAUCCAACUUGUCGAGUCAAAUACUGGACUCGUUGAGUUGGCUUGAUUUGUGCUUGAGUCGUUGAGUUAGAUCAUAGGACUCGUCAAGUCCCGUGUUCUGACAACGGUUUUUCAAUUUUUUUUCAGCUUUGAACAAAUAACCAAUACAUUUAUAUAACAUAAAACUACCCAUGGCUUUGAUACCACUGUUGGGUUUUAUAUACUCUAACAUCCCAAUGGUGCACAUACAACCCUAAUGCUUUGUAUCUAUGUUUUCUCUAGUAAGAAUUAUCCACGCAAUAAAAUUAUCCAAAGCAUAAAGCCUAAAAGUAGCAUACAAUUUGAUAUUUGAAUCAUAAAACUAGUAAGAAGAUUACAUCUUUGUUGUAGCUUGUUGUAUUUGGCCUUUAGGAGCUUAGUGCCUCAAAUGUGGCACCUAUAAUGGAAUCACAAGACACCAUGAACAAUUGGAGGACUUGAUAGAGAGUUUUGGAGACACAAAAUCGACUAGGUCCUACUUAGAACACACAAGUGCCGAUUUUAGGGUUUAGGGAAAUACAUAUAUAGUGUAAAAUUCCAAGAGUCAUAUGUAAACCCUAGUUCUUAAACUUAGGCUUAUGACCCAAUAACUCAUAUAACCUAACUCUUCAUGGACUCUCACAUAAACUUAGUCCAUCAUGGAUCAAUAGCCUAAACCAUAUGUAUCACUGAUUUACAUAAUCAGUCUCCGUUAAUUUAAUUGGUUUCUGUUGAUCACUAAAUUAAUUCCAAAUAAAUUCUUGAUCAAUACUAAUUAAAUAAUGUAAUUUCACUAUUAAUAUAUUAUACAUAUAAUAUAUUAGUAAAUCAUUAAUAACCUCUUUCUCAAAUAUCCAUCCUAUCAGAUUGUUCUGGUGAAUGCAACCCAAAAGGACCAUGCUACUCUCGGGUCAAGUACAUACCAGUUAUAGUUAUGGGCUUUGCCACCUAAUCCAACAGAUAAAACCUCGAAAUAUAUAUGGAGUAAGAAUGAUUUCCUUACUCCAACACAUUUAUGAUUAGAAUUGUGAUCUUUCGUUAACCGAGAAACAAAAGAUAAAUUGAGUUCUAUUCUAUGAAGUGUUUUCUUGUCAAGAAUCUGUACGAAGAUUUGAAUAUUUGUUUUAGCUUGUCAAGGAAUGUUCCUCAAGAGAAAAUUCAUAUGUCAAGAAUUCAAUAGGAUUCAUGUUGACCUUGAGCUCGCAAGAGUCAACCAACAAUGAUCCUUCUAGUUAUCACUAGCAUGCGACGUGAUGUUGAUAACCUGUUGUGUUUGACAUAUUAUUAUUUCUAUUCAUUUUUAGUUAAGUUGGAAAUGUAUUUGAGUUAUAUGUUCUGCGUUUAACUGCAAAAGCAAAGCACGUUGGUCAGUGAAAGUAUAUUGAUCGAUAUAUGUGAGCUACAAAUAGCAUGGAAGAACUGGUAGGCCAUUGAGCUACCAAAAGGCAAGAAAUUACAAAUAGAAAAGUUCAUUCUACAAAGUAAAACUGAAUUAGAAUUUUCUUUGCCCUAAAACAUGUCUUAUUACUAUACGUUGGUAAUGAUAGAUUCACAUGGAUAGAAGCAUAUGCACCUUGAAAUAUUUGUAGCAAAGGUUUCGCUCUAAGUCAUGAAUAUGGUUUUGAGGAAAUACUUUCGCUGAUAGAUCUUAAAGAUCUGAUAAAGAUCAAUAUUGAUAAUGGUUAUGUUAGUUGCAUUCUCAAACUCACAAUAUGAUUACGACAUCCCCCUUCAUAUUUCAAAUUGUGAUGAAUGACAAGUAACUAUUUGAAAUUUCAAGACAUGUAUUUAUAAGUUUUGAAAGGGUUUAAACAAAAACACACACAUACACACUCACAAACAUAAACACACAUACUCACAAAAAAAAACACACACACACACACACACACACAUAUAUAUAUANNNNNNNNNNNNNNNNNNNNNNNNNNNNNNNUUGAUUUCUAGAAGUCUAAUUAGAGACUUAUAGAAGUAUCACAUAACAGAAAUCUACACUUAUGUAUGAAAGUCUAAGGGUAUUGAUUUGUAGAAGUCCAGUUGAUUUUUGGGUACAUGUUGAAGCUAGUGGGAGCAUAAUUGUUAUGCUAAUAUUUCAUGUUGACAUUACUGUUUAUAGGAAACGNNNNNNNNNNNNNNNNNNNNNNNNNNNNNNNNNNNNNNNNNNNNNNNNNNNNNNNNNNNNNNNNNNNNNNNNNNNNNNNNNNNNNNNNNNNNNNNNNNNNNNNNNNNNNNNNNNNNNNNNNNNNNNNNNNNNNNNNNNNNNNNNNNNNNNNNNNNNNNNNNNNNNNNNNNNNNNNNNNNNNNNNNNNNNNNNNNNNNNNNNNNNNNNNNNNNNNNNNNNNNNNNNNNNNNNNNNNNNNNNNNNNNNNNNNNNNNNNNNNNNNNNNNNNNNNNNNNNNNNNNNNNNNNNGUUAUAUAUAUAUAUAUAUAUCAUGUUGAAAUGUUUCAACAUUGGUGAUUCUAUAUAUAGAAAUAUUAUAGCAAUAGAUUGAACAAAUAUCAAAUCUUUAUAUAGGACAUAAUGAAUCGAGUCCCAUAUGCUCUAGAUAUAGAUCGAUCACAUAUUCUAUAAUAUUCACUUAUUCUAACUUUUAAAAUGUAUUUAUAAUUGUGAGAAUGGGAUUAGAAUCUUAUGAGUAAGGUUUUUAAACAACUGUCAAGAACAUUCUUAGUUUACCAAAGAUGGUUGCUUGUGGACAGUUAGAAGUAUGAUAUUAUUAGGAUAGUCCUUAAUGACAUGUUUUGGAUUGAGAUGAUUCUAUGUUAGAAUUGAUGGUUAUAUGAGAAUAUAUAAAUGUUUUCAUAAUGGGAUAUGCUUGUAGAAUCUACAUGUGAGUUGGAAACUUUAAUGCAAGAGAAAUGUUCAAGGAGUGUCCUUGAAUAUGAGACUUCAUAACCAUGGAAUUGUUUCAAGUAACAAGUUAUAGUGGAACAUUUUGUAAUAUUGAAGGCUCAGUCUCUGUGACUUUAGAACCUUUACAUCACAGAAGGUCAAUGCAUGUGAAGAUGAAAUUCCGCUACAUUUUAGAUAAGUAAUAACAAUUUGGAAUUAUGAAAUGAGCAUCAUUGGGGUAAUGUUCGGUCAAUCUGUUCACAAAGGAAGUACCAUCGAGAGGCGUAGUAUGCAUGUUUUUAACAUGGCAUGACUGAUGUUUUUUAAUUCAAGUGGUUAGUUGAUUACUCGAAACAUUAUACAAUGAAUAAUUUCGUAAUUGUUAUGGUGAUUAAAUAAUAGGGGUUUAUUAAUAUUCAAUAGGUAUGAUACCAUAGUCAAUUAGUUUAUUAUUGUGUUUCACUUUGUAUGUUUUACUUCCCUGAUUAACUUAAGUAUUAUUUAGCAUUCCACAAUCAUUCAUAAUUUUGGAAGUAAGUAGUGAACUAAGACUAUCAUAAAUUGUUUGUAGAUUGUCCAUAGGGAUUGGACGUUGCAUACAGAAUGUUGCAAUGUUCAUGAUUACUUGGAAAUAAGAUUUUAAGUAUUGGAUAAACCCACACUUAGAGAUUACUUCAUGGAUUUUAUCAUGAGCAAUUCUAAGACGAUAAUAUCUUCUAUUCUUCAAACAUAGAUACACAAGUUGUGAUUUGCAAGUCAAUUAUGCAUUGGAAUUGUGUAAACACAUCAGUAAAUUGAUGUUAUAAAUUGUAGUUCCAUGUACAAUUGGAUGAGUAAAGGUUACAGUUAUGUAGUCAAAGUUUAUUCGUUCCUUUUUCCUUAACAGGAAAAGCGAUAUCUUUUGGCCCCUCGUUGAUUUGUAAGAAUUAGGCCUGUUCCGGAUUAAAUUGAUGUGUUCAAUUUUGUAGUCUGAAUUUGAUCACAAAUCGGGAAAUCGAUAAAAAAAAUAUAAACAUGAGGUUAAUCUUUUAAUCCACGACUCAAUUCAUAUGAUAUCUUGUAGAACUAAGUAAUAGUUGAUCAUUAUCUUAUGGCCAACGUUUGAUUUGGAUUAGAGUUCGAAAGUGGCUUUGGAAAGCACCCUUUGCUAUUUGGUUCAAGGCUAUACUUGUAAUUGUAGUUAUAAACUUAUCCAAGUGGGAGACUGCUGGAUUAAGGUGUGUAAACUCAUAACUAAAUUUGUACAUUCUUCUAAUUAAAAGCUAAGUCCUUUUUGGGUUACCCUCAUAACUAGAACUUGGUCAGAAUGACAUUUCUAGCGAGAGGAUAAAUUUAUUAGUUUAUUAUAUGAUUAAUAAAUUGUAAUAAAUGAUUUUGUAAAUAUAUUAUAUGAUUAAUAUAUUAAUUGGAAGUAGAUAGUUGAUUUGUUAAUUUAUUAUGUGAUUAAUAAAUUAAUAGUUAAAUAACAUAUUUGUUAAUUUAUAUGAUUAAUAAACUAAUAUGAAACCAAUAAUAAUUAAUUAAUUAAUUAUCAUAAUUAAUCUAGAAUUAAUUCAAGAUUAAUUGGAAUUAAUUAAAGGUUCGAUGAUGAGUUGGAAUUGUUCAAUAGUUGAACAAAUGAGAGGAUCUAGAAAUCUUCAUUAUAUAGACAAUUUUAAGGACCCAAUUAGAGUUUCUAUAAGCCUCCAAAUGAUAAUUAGGAAACUAGAUAAUUACGUGAUUUGAAAUAUAUUAUUAUAUGUUCAAAUUUAGGGUUUAUAGGGUUUUUGGAUAGUUAUAAAUAGGACCCUUGGGUCAGCUAUUUUCUUGCUCUUCCUCAACUAGAGAAUUUUGAUUUCUCAUUCUCAUCCUCCUCUCUCCUCUCUUGUCUUCUAGUUCUAUGGUUUGGAUACGAACCAUUAGAGGCAUCAUCCUUUGGUGCUAAGCUUUACAAGAUCAAUAACUGUAAGGUAUUGAAGUGAUUUGUUUACUAUAACAAAUUCUUGUAUUUUGAUUAUACUAGAGUUUCAUUAGGGUUCAUGUUAGUUUUGUUGUUCAUUGUAUGUUACAUUCAAAGUAUUAUGACAUACAUCUUUAGUUUCAUGUGCCCAGAAGUGUUAAGUGAAAUUCCACAAGCACAUUGAUUUUGUAACCUAUAAAACCCAUCCGAAAACUAAGGUACAUGUCAUAUAACACAUAGUAUAAGAGAAAGAGAGAGAGAGAGAGAGAGAGAGGGAUGGAUACAAAGGGAGAAAGAGAAAAAGGAAGAGAGAAAGAGAGAAACAGAAAGAGGGAUAUAUAUAUAUAUAUAAAGAGAGAGAGAGAGAGAAAGAAAGAGAGAGGGAGAAAGUAUAUGUAGAGAGAGAAACAGGAUGAAGUGUGUUAGUGAAACCACAUAAACAACCCACCACUCCCAACCCUCUCAACUCACUCAAGAGGGAGUGGUGUCUUGGAGGUAAUAAUAGUACAUUGUUCCCAAUUUACCAUGACUCCCUCCUCCCAUAUAGAAACUAAUUUUAAUUGUUUUUAUGAAAUAAAAGACAAAGUUUAAUAACUUAAAAUAAUAGAUGGAAAAACUUAGUGACUCUCGUAAAAUGGAGGAAUCGUACAAUCCUAUGACCUUAGGUAUUAAAAACGAUUUGGGUCAUAUACAAAUCGUAUUUUGGGUAGGAUUGAAGAUAACAUCGUAGGUAAGAUCGUAGAAUUGGGAUCUGAUUGCUAUCCUACCUUCCCUUGAUUUAUUGAAAAAAAAAGAAUUUAUCACUUUAUAUCUUUUACCCUUUACCUAUUUACUAGUUAUCAUUUCGUGUUGUGAUUUCUGACUAAUGUUUUGAAAUUUUUAUACUUUUGAUACAGAAAACUUAAUCUUUGAGAUAUUUUUCAUGUUUUAAAACUAUAAGUUAAAAUUAUGUUUUAUUUUAUGGGAUUUUAAGAUCCCGAUCCCGAUCUUGCAAACCCAAAAAUGAUCGUAUGUAGGAUACCGAUCUUGAAAACCUUUCACCUAACAAUUCAAUUCCCACUCGUUAUAAUACUUAAAGAAUAAAACACAAGCUUACCCGCCAAGAAUUUUGUAGUGUAAAAAGAAGUUUAGCCGAAAAAACAAGGGUACUAAAGUUGGGCUCUUUAGCUAGAAACUAGCAGUUAAAGAGGCCACGUAUACUUUAUACUUUGCAAUAUCAGUUGUAUAUGUGAAAAACAGGGUGUUACAACUUGGUAUCAGAGCCGUGAUUUAAGUUAAUUAGGUAUCUUGUAGUAGAUUCCUAGUCUUAAAUUAGAUGGUAGAAUGUUAUUAUUUGACUAUACUUGGUAGACAUAAUUGUCGUGAUGGACAUUGCAAAGAAGGUUGUGGUGCAUGUUGUGGCGCCUGUUAUGGUGCCUGUUGCAGUGCAUGAAGUGGAAAAUGUUGCGAGACGUGGAGUGGUACAAGUUGUGAUGUACGAUUUUAUAUAUAUAUAUAUAUAUAUAUAUAUAUAUAUAUAUAUAUAUACACACACACACACAAAUUUGUAUAAAUAACUUCAUGAUGGACGUUACGUUGCACGUGGUAGUGAACUUCACAUAUAUAUUGCGGUAGGAGAUGUCGUGGUGUUGCGGUGUAUGUUGCAAGAUCUUUGUAGUGUGGAGAAACAUAAAACUUGUAGCAAAAUAUGUGGUGUGGUAAUUAGAGAUGUGUGAUGUUGUUAGUUGAAUAUAAUAGUAAUUUACGUUUCUAACCACGAUGCAGACAGUGAGUAGUCACAACACGGUUAUAAGUACAAUGUUAUGACUAAAUGUGAAAAACGCGGUGUGGUUGGGGUAAUGCCACGACGUGGUUAUGUAUUGUGAAAACUAAGGGAAACACACUUUGAACCGUGAUGCGGUAGUGAGUGAAAACGACACAAAAAAUGAAAGUAUAAUGUUAGAAUGGAAUGGUAUCACGACGUGGUGGCAUGAUUACCACGGCAUAGUUAUAAAUUCAGAAAAUAUAUAAUUUCGUUAAUGGAUCGUUAUUAGACUAUUUUAUCCCUAAAGAUUAGAAAUGUAGCAAGUCGGAUGAUUAUUAAUCACUAGAAUUUUAUUAGUACUCAGUUGUACGAGAUAGUUGCUCAAGGUUUGGAUGAAUUGGUGUAAAAGAUAAUUGUGUUGAACGACUAGAACUUAUUAGACAGUAAAGUCUAUAGCUAGAAUUAAAUGGAGUUGAUGGCUGACUGAUGUAUUCAAUAGAAUUUGCAAUGGAUAUUUAAUAGUGAUAAAAAGUUGUUAAGAUAAACAAAAAAGUAGAUUGUUUUGUGGUAAGGUUGAACUUGAAUAGAGAGUUGGACCUGUGGACGUUUUGGAGGUCUUGCCAAUAUGUAUUUAGUGGUAGAAAUAACUCCUCAAAAUGUGUUAUGUAAAAAAAGGGGUUUGAAAGAACUCCUAUACUAUCUAAUGUGGCAGUGAUACCCUUAAUUAUGAAAAGUUUUUGAGAAAAGUAAAUGUGAGUAGAAGAUAAAACACGGGUGCAAUUAGUGUCGUGAUAUGAGCAUAGUGGAAAGUUAGCAUUGAAUUUUAUGAUAAGUAAUAAAAGAUAGUAAAAAGGGAACUGCGGAGUCAUAUUAGUUCAUGAAAUAUGUGACAAGUGAGAAAGAGAAGAUCUGAAAUUUUCUGAGCAUAUGAUUCUUUAAUUUGAAGAACUAGUAUAGAAGUACAUAUUGUUAAUGUACUAGCUAUAAAAUCAUGAAUAUGGGGAUCUCGAAUUGAUGGAAACUGAUAGAAUGAACAAAGAAUGUAUAGAAAGGUGAACUUCUAAAUCCUUAUAUAUAGAAUAUAAUUAGAAGAAUGGAGAAAUGGAUUUAGUGAAAGUUGUGAUCGGGAAGUGGAAUGAUGAAGUAAGGAGCAUAUGAAUAUUGUUUGCUUGCAGUAUUAUGGUGUUCUUAUCACAACAAACACAUAGCCCUCAUUGUGACCUUAUAUAAUCAUGAAGUUUUUUGAGGAUUGAGUUGGAAAGGGAUAUUUGGAUAAGUAAAUUGGGAUAUUAAAGAUAUCUACAUAAAGAACCUUAGGUUGUAAAUGUGGAGUGAUGUUGACAGAUGUGAUGAUAUGAUGGUAAAGGUAAAUUGAACUUAGCAGACUUGGUUUCAGAAACGAUAAAGUUUGGAAUGUGUAACACCCGUUUUCUUGGAUGAAUCGAAUUACGGUUUCAGAGUCAAAAGGUUGGACUUUUGGAAAAAAAAGGGUCCUCAUGACGUGAGGCAAGAAGGAUCACAACGUGAGAAAGGAUGCACGAGGAUUUCAUCUGGGAUUGGGCUCAUGGCGAGAGCAUUAAGAGCUCAUGAUGUGAGGUUCGCUGCAGCCCAAGCCCAUGAUCUUAGGAUUUACGUCUUAUUUAAACCCCAUAAACUUCAUUCUAGGGUUCUAAACCAGCCUCCUUCAUCCCUAAACUUAGUAAAACCCUAACCCUGUCAUCUCUUUGUGUUUCUUGAGCUUUUGGUUUUUUGAUGGUUUGAAGAGGAAGAGAUCAUUAUGGAAUCAUAGUUACAGCUUGUAAGCUUCAUUUGCAACCUUUAGCUACACUUCCGGACCAAUGUGAGUAAUCAAGAUCCUAGCUUUAUGUUUCCUUGUUGCUAGGUCUAAGGUUUUUUGCAUAUUCAUCCAAGAUCUUAUGAAUUGGAGUGUUGGGAUUCCAUAAAGUUAACAACUUUUGUCACACCCCCGAACCAGACGGCGGAAACGUCCGGGGGCUGUCGUGACUCAAUUGAAUACCAUCACAAUGAAUAUACAUGAAACAUAACAUCAUUCAUCACCAACAUUUGAAUAUUACAACUGAUAGUGUUUACAUUCAUUACAUUGUCUCAACCAUUACAUUUCCAAAAAUUAAAUUGUUCGGUUCAUACAUAAAUAAACUGCAUCCGUCACUGAAUAUGUUUUCCUUUGGUUCACUGGUUCCCUGAGAAUACAAGUAUUUUGAAAAGCGUCAACAUAUGAAAUGUUGGUGAGUUCAUAAGUAGUGUUUGAAAUCCAAUGUUUUGUAUUGUUUGAAAACCACCAGAAAAUCCGAUAUUUUCUGAAAAGAAAAGCUUUUGAAAAUGUUGUGAAGAUCCAUAGGUAUGCUUGUUUGUUUCUAUACUUAAAAAAAAAUUGUUCGUUAAGAUUGUAUGCAUUUUGAAUAUGUAUGUAUUGAAAAACCCUAGGAAAACCCGAUGUUUUCCUAAUUUCUUGUAUUACAUGAAGUUACAUUGAAACCAUUGCAUAGCGUAUAGUGUCAGUCCCAGGCGACGUUGGAUUAUUUUUUAGCAUGAUUAAUUACUACAAACCCGCAUUACACAAACGCCCAGUUUAUAGCUAUACUAACGAUCCCGAAGGCGUCGUCCGUACUAAUCACGUUAUCCAAUCGCCCUGACUAUGUGUAGUCCCACAUCCGAAGAGAAAGAGGUCACGAAGACCCCGGUGACUCCAUUAACCGGUUGGGGAUAAAAAUGUACGAGGGGUCCCCGACCCGCCUCGCAAAAAAUGUAGACUUUACUAGCAAUACCAAAGGACCCUUGGGGACCAGUAGUAUACAAGCCAUUGAAAGUCCCUCUACGUUGUGCCAAGUCGGUGAAACCCAACACUUCGUAGAAAAAAAAUGUCUUCGGGCCUUAAGAUCAGGUCAUUGGGCUAGCUAGGCCCAACAAACAAGAUUUUACACUUUUGGGGCCCAAAGAUGGUGCGUAGACGUCUGUGCACACUCGCAUGUAAAUUGAGUUCCCAAACGUUAUUUGUAUGUAUCGUAGUGUCGCCAUGUUAGUAGUUUCGGAUUUUCAUUGGUUCGAGACCGAACCAAUUCGUUUCACAACGAUUUUGGUAUUGUAGUGUAUUGUAUUUCGUCGAUAGUCGCGGUGCCAUUGUUUGAUCAAAUUGCAUGUAUUGAAUUAGCCUUGAAAGUUUUCUGUUUUCAGCCCCUCAUUGUUUGUAAAAUUUACUUUUUCAACCCUUUAAUUAAAUACUUUCCGGUUUGGUCCUUAAAUUAAUUUUCUUGACAUUUUAACACCAAAAAUUAUUGAAAUUAAUAUUUUUCAGCAUAUUUUUCAUAGAAAACAGUUUAAGUCCCUGAAAAUGCAGUUUUCUCGGUUAUAACCCUUCUUUUUCGCAACUUUGACAAUUUUGGCCCAAAUUGUAAAAUUUUUGCAACUUUGGUCCUUUUUAAAUUUAAAAAGCAUUUUAAACCUUUGAAAAGGACUUGGAACACUUAUAGUCCACUGUUUUACAGAAAAAUACAGUUUUGGCCCUCCAAAACAGAAAAUCUCGCAUAAUGGGCCUCAUUGGGCCGAAAAUGUCAUUUUUAGCCCAUUAAGCUUGAAAUUUAUGUUUUUAAUCCUCUAAAUGAGUAUAUUUCCAGAAAUUGUUUUAUUGAAACUGUUUUGGCACACCUCAUCCAUCAGAAUUCGUGAUAUGUCAAUUUGGACCCUUAAUUUUGUAUUUUUCACAUUUUAGGCCCAAAAUUUGGGUUUUUAGCCCAAAGAAAAUUGUUACUAAACUACUUAGCCAUUUUUCUUGAAACACUUUGUAUGUAGAAACAUAUUUGAUGCAAAAAUCAUUUAACAUAAGAUAUAUCUCGGUUUUGAGGGGUUUUAUGGCUAGAUCCAACAUUUUAGCACACAAAAGCAUACAUGUAAGCAUGGAAAUCAUACAAGGCAUACAAAACACAUAUAGAUCUACACUUUCACUUGUAUCCCCCCCCCCCACAAAACUCAUAAAAACAGAAAAUAGGGGGUAUGAAGCUCACCUUGGGUGUGGUUUCGGUUUUUGGAAGAAAAGAUGGAGGAAAACUUGAUGAUUUUUGGCCUUAGCACCUUUCCUUGGUAGAUCUCGAGUUUGAGAUGGUUCUAGGGUGCAAGAUCACGAUUUUUGCAUAGAUUAGGAAGGGAUUUUGAUAACAAAAAGAAUCUAAACCAUAGAUCCAAGCAUAAUCUUACCUUAGAUGAUGAUUAACUUGCAAGAUCCUCUUGAAAGUCCCUAAUUUUCGAUAUUUUUGGAGAGGGAAGGAAGGAGUGUUCUUGAGUGAUCUAGAGAGAGUUUGAGAUAUUUUUGUGGUGUGUGUGUGCUAGUGGCCGAGAGUGAGAGAGAGGAAGAAGUGAGGUGAUCUUUGAAGUGAUACUUGCAUGGAAGAAUGAGAUAUCUUGCAUGGAAAUCCUAUGGACAAUAAUGAUGUGGCACAACAAGUCAACUCUUCCUUAUCUUCUUAGAUUUGGGCCUUGGGCCGAGAUUUUUGGGAGGGAAAGAAAAAAAAUUGGGCCUUUGCCCCUAAGCCCACUAUUAGAGUUAAUCUUGGGUGUUCAUUGGCCUUAUAAAAUAAAAUUGUGAUUUUUAUGCUUUAUUAAGCUAGGUUAGGUUAAAUUAUGGAUCAAAGCUUGUGAUUUAUUUCAUUCUAGGCCCAACAUGGCCCAAAAUGUUGAAAUAAAUUAGUGUGGGUCCAAUUAGAGCCCAAUUAGGGUUCUAAGCCCAUGAUAGUCUAAUUGGAAGCUUAUUGGUCCAUUUGGAUCCAAUAAGGGAGUCCUAGUCCAAAAUGGACUUAACAAGGACUUUUAGGGUUUCCAAUUGUUUGAUGACUAUUUGUAGUACUAGUAUGAUGUAUUUGAUUGAAGUUUUUGAUUCACAUUAGCUUGAAUGUAUGGAUUACAUGACACAAAAUUUCCAGUUGUGACAACUUUAUAGGUCUCUAAGGUCCCUAGAUGCUUAUAUAUCAUGGAUCUAAAGUUUGAGUGUCGUUGGAUUUCAUGCAUGAGAAUUUAUCAUCUUUUUCUCCAUGAAUGACUCAUUUUUAGCUCAUAUCUUGUAUUAGACAUACAAGACCUUAAAGCAUUGUUUUUUUUUUAUGAUCAUUGGGGUGUUAGGAAGCCUCUUGGAACAGUUGGAUUAGAGGCUUAACGGAUUAAGAGUUUUUUUGGAUCAAAAUGGCGUACAGACGGUUCUCACGACCUGAGGAAGAUGCAUGUCAUUUCGUGAGGGUUGCAAGACUCGAUUAUAUUGUCUUGUAGUGGCUCAUGACGUAGACCAAAGAUGGUCACGUUGUGAGUGCCUAUUGACCGUUGACUUUCAUUGACCGUUUUGAUCUUUGACUUUUCGACCAAGUUUGACCUGUUGGAUUAGGUGUCUAAGCCCAUAAACAUAAUUGGUAUGUACUUGAAUUGAUAGUGGCAUGGUCCUUUUGGGUUGCCUUCACACAUGUAACUAGAUAGGAUGAUUAAUAGAGGAAGAGGAAAGAUUUAUUUAUUUGAUUAAUAAAUUGGAAUAAAUGAUUUAUUAAUAUGUUAUGGAAAUAAUAUAUUAAUUAGCAAUCAUAUUAUUAAUUAAUAUUUAAUCAGAAAUUAAUUUAGAAUUAAUUUGGGAUUAAAGGAAUUAAUUAAAAGUGUAGGGACUAAAAGUGAAAUUGCUCAAUAGUUGAGAAAAAGGGUCCAAAACCUUCCUAGGGUAAGGGUGACCGAUUUUAAUGUAUAUAUGAAAGAUUAUUCUAGAGUUUCUAGAAUAUGUUGUCAUAUAUGGAUAAUCAAAUUAGGUAGAUAAUUACCAUAAUUGAGAUUAGGGUUAUCCAUAACAUAUUUGGUGCACUAUAAAUAGAGUCCUUAAGCCUUGGAUUUUUGGCCACUCUUUAGAAGAAGCAAGAGCCAAAAAUUUGAUCUCCUCCUCCUCUCUCAUAUCAUUAUCUUGCAUUGUGUGUUUGUGAGCCAUUAGAGGUGUUACACUUGUGACACUAAGCUCUCAAGCUUCAAUAUCUACAAGGGAAUCAUUGUUAUUACAACAUAACAAUCAAGGUAUGUAACCAAACCCUAGUUGUAUAUAGAUUUAUAAAAUUAUAGACACUUCCUGGGGUUUCUCCUUUGGUUUUUGAGUUUUCAUGUUCAAUUAGAGAAAACGUAGAUCCAAAGCAUUAGAGUUGCAUGCAUACAUAGGAAUUGUUAUUAUGCUCAAAACCCAUCAGUGGUAUCAUAGUCUAGUAUUAGUUUUUUUGUUGAAUAUGAUGUAAUUGUGAAUUGUUCAAAGGAGAAGGGAACAACAUCGUCUUUUUUUCAUUGAACUCUCCGAUUUGAUCUUUGAACUCAACAAGUUGACAUGCAACUCGACGUGGUAAUUGCCUUGCCCAACUUGACGAGUUGCACUGCCAGAUCCUAGAUUUUCUGUUUUGAUAAUUGUCUCAUGGAUUGAUUAGGAUAAUUACAUUAAAUUCGUUUUUAAUUGUUUAAAAUUGGAUAUUUUAAUCAGUAAUUUUGUAUCCUUAUCAUGAAUUCAUGAUUGGGUUAAAGUUUUUGAUAAAGAUAAAAUUAAUUUGUUAAUUUAAUUAUUAAAAAUUUAACCUAGUAUUUUUAAAAAGAUUCAAAAAUACACCCUUGGUUUUAAAAUUUAAAAUUUAAUUAAAUAGUUUAAUUUUGAAAAUUUUAAAUUUAAAAAGCCAAAUAUUUUAAAUGUUUAAAAUACACCCUUAUAUAUAUUAUAAAAUUAAAAGUNAACAUUAUAUAUAUGUAUGAGUAAAUUUCAGUCUUACCGUUAGUAAGCAUCAUUCACGAAGCUGGUCUAUAAGGAGAGUUUAAGGAAGUGACCUAUAAAAUAACUGCCAUUGGGUACCCACUCUUAUCCAUAACUCCCUUGACUAGUGGAGGGUCGUUAGUCGAACGGGUUUGAUAAGACACUUAAUUCUCAUUAAUAAGUAUAAUGAAAUAUAUAAAGUAACUGAAUUUUUUUUAUAAAAUUCUCAAUCUUACUUACUUUAGGAAAAUGUGAUUUGAUGCUAAUCCAUGAAAUUGCACAUUACACUUUAUAAAAUUCGUUGGUGUAGCGUGUGUGGUUAACCAAUAGACUGGUAUGGACUAAUAAAGGGUGGCAAUGGGUAGUUCGUAAAUUAUCAUUGAUUAAUAGAGUGUGCGUGGUUAACCGACACAUUAAUUAGAUGAUAAACGACAUCGAGAGUACCAAGCUAAUUUUCAUGGUUAUUCACACAUUGUUUGUAAUCCUUGGUAUCCCAAUCACAAAUGGGGUUCAUUAGCAAUAUUUGUUUCAGCCAUAGCUAAAAAUGAAUUUUGAAAAUCUUUAUGUCUCUUCCCUUAAAAUAAGGAGAACACGAACAUCUAUUCCAAGUCUAAAUAAAUGUUUGAUAGCAAUUUGGACAAAACCGACAUGUAAAAAUUUAUAUUUCAUUCUAUGCUCUAGAAUAGAUCGUGAUGAUAACAAUUUAAAAAAAUUUAUAUUUCAUUCUACGGCUAAUAUCACUAGAAGAUUUGAAAACUUUGAAGACUUCAAGAUGAUUAUAAAUAGAAACUAUGUUUUAGUAGAGAGGAGCAAGAAAAAAUAUUCAUUCUCCAAAAAAUAUUCAACCCAUUUCUAAAAAAUCUCCAAGAGUUUUGUAUCUACUAGUAGAUGUUUAAAGUCUCUAGAUUUUCAAAUAAUUCUUUUUCCAGAUGUAUUUAUUGAUUGUAAUUCAAGCUUAAUUCAAAAAAGUAUUAUCUAAAAGUAUUUAUUCAAUUGUUGUUAUUAGAUUUAUUUCUCCAUGAUAAUUUCAUUUCAAGUUAUUCUAACUAUUAAUUCUAUAAGAUUUCAAACUUUUGUUAAAAUAGUGCUCGUUUUUAAUAAUCAAGCUAAUCAAAUUCAUGCUUAAAUUAUUUAAUUAUGUCUAACAAAAUCUUGAUAAAUUGUAUCCCUAAUAAAGAUAUUCUUUUAAGAAUACAAUGAAUUCAAGAAUCUAUAAAUAAUUCUGAGCAAAAUCUUAAAGAUUUUUAUAAACCUACUAAUCGAUGUGCAAUUUUGAACAAUAAUCAAAUUUAUGAUGCUUGAUGGCUUAUAAGAACUAGUAUUAAAAAUCGUUAAAAACAUAUACAUUAUCUGAAAACAAAACUAUUUGUUUUUCUAAAAAUAUUAUUUAAAGACAAUGAAUUCAAGAAUCUAUAAAUAAUUCUGAGCAAAAUCUUAAAGAUUUUUAUAAACCUACUAAUCGAUGUGCAAUUUUGAACAAUAAUCAAAUUUAUGAUGCUUGAUGGCUUAUAAGAACUAGUAUUAAAAAUCGUUAAAAACAUAUACAUUAUCUGAAAACAAAACUAUUUGUUUUUCUAAAAAUAUUAUUUAAAGUCAUUGUAUUAUUAUUGUUAUGGACAUUUUACAAAUUGUGUUAUUUUUAUUGUUAUAUAUAUAUAUAUAUAUAUAUAUGUAUAAUAANNNNNNNNNNNNNNNNNNNNNNNNNNNNNNNNNNNNNNNNNNNNNNNNNNNNNNNNNNNNNNNNNNNNNNNNNNNNNNNNNNNNNNNNNNNNNNNNNNNNNNNNNNNNNNNNNNNNNNNNNNNNNNNNNNNNNNNNNNNNNNNNNNNNNNNNNNNNNNNNNNNNNNNNNNNNNNNNNNNNNNNNNNNNNNNNNNNNNNNNNNNNNNNNNNNNNNNNNNNNNNNNNNNNNNNNNNNNNNNNNNNNNNNNNNNNNNNNNNNNNNNNNNNNNNNNNNNNNNNNNNNNNNNNNNNNNNNNNNNNNNNNNNNNNNNNNNNNNNNNNNNNNNNNNNNNNNNNNNNNNNNNNNNNNNNNNNNNNNNNNNNNNNNNNNNNNNNNNNNAUAUAUAUAUAUAUAUGAAAAAGUUCAAUAGAGAACCAUUAUUAUUCAAGGAACCAAGGAACCAAUCUAAAGCGUUGGAAUUUAAAGCGAUCAACGACAAAAAAAAAAGGUUGUAAAUUUUUAUAAUGGACGCACAUCUACCGGAUUAUAAAAAAACUCAUUUCAUUUUUUUCAUUUAAAAUUUUUUAUAGGCCAAGUUUUUUAUCGAAAAAAAAUUCAAAUAUACCGUUGUUCACGAUUUUUCAUCAUCUUUCCAUAGAGAUCCAUGAUGAUAUAUAAAAAACGAACUUUUUUUUUCCGAAAAAAAACCCACUUAUUUUUUUCAAUAUUUAAGCUUUUUUUUAUAAAAAAAACUAAUUAUACCAAAAAUAUUAAUUUUUUAUACUCUAUUAAUAAACAUCAACACCGGUUAAAAAUAAAAAAAACCCUCGAGCAGUGUAGAUUCACACUGUGAAUCUAAACUGUAAAUAUUUCAAUUUUUAACAUUCACAAUAUGAAAAAUCUCGAACAGUUCAGAUUCACAUUGUAAAUAUGAAUUACUAUUAUGCAGACUGUGAAUCUGAGAAGGUUCACACACACAAAAAAAAAAACCUCGAUUAGUGUAGAUUCACAUUGUGAAUCUAAACUGUAAAUAUUUCAAAUUUUAACAUUCACAAUUUGAAAAAGCUCCGAUCAGUUCAGAUUCACACUGUGAAUCUGAUUUACUAUUAUACACAAUGUCAAUCUGAGGAGGUUCACAAUAUGAAUCUGAACAAGUUCACAAUAUGAAUCUAUGUUUACAAAGUACAAAAAAUAUGAAUUUUGAUAUAUUUAUUAAUUUUUUUCUAUAAAAAAUAGACCUUAACUUUUUUAUUAAAUAAAAUGAAGUGGGUUUUUUUUCGAAAAAAAAGUUCGUUUUUUAUAUAUCAUCAUGGAUCUCUAUGGAAAGAGUACAAAAAAUCGUGAACAACGGUAUAUUCGGGUUUUUUUUUUCUUUUUUUUUUGAUAAAAAACAUGGCCUAAAAAAAAUUUUAAACCAAAAAAAUUGGUGGGUUUUUUUUGUAAAAUGUGGAUUUUUUGGUAUAAUCUGGUGUAUAUGCGCCAAAUGUAAAAGUGUACAUCUAUUUCCUUGGCCGUUGAUCGUUAUGAUUUUCGAUGCUCACGAUUGGUUCCUUGGUUCGUUGGUUAAUUAUGGUUCUGNNNNNNNNNNNNNNNNNNNNNNNNNNNNNNNNNNNNNNNNNNNNNNNNNNNNNNNNNNNNNNNNNNNNNNNNNNNNNNNNNNNNNNNNNNNNNNNNNNNNNNNNNNNNNNNNNNNNNNNNNNNNNNNNNNNNNNNNNNNNNNNNNNNNNNNNNNNNNNNNNNNNNNNNNNNNNNNNNNNNNNNNNNNNNNNNNNNNNNNNNNNNNNNNNNNNNNNNNNNNNNNNNNNNNNNNNNNNNNNNNNNNNNNNNNNNNNNNNNNNNNNNNNNNNNNNNNNNNNNNNNNNNNNNNNNNNNNNNNNNNNNNNNNNNNNNNNNNNNNNNNNNNNNNNNNNNNNNNNNNNNNNNNNNNNNNNNNNNNNNNNNNNNNNNNNNNNNNNNNNNNNNNNNNNNNNNNNNNNNNNNNNNNNNNNNNNNNNNNNNNNNNNNNNNNNNNNNNNNNNNNNNNNNNNNNNNNNNNNNNNNNNNNNNNNNNNNNNNNNNNNNNNNNNNNNNNNNNNNNNNNNNNNNNNNNNNNNNNNNNNNNNNNNNNNNNNNNNNNNNNNNNNNNNNNNNNNNNNNNNNNNNNNNNNNNNNNNNNNNNNNNNNNNNNNNNNNNNNNNNNNNNNNNNNNNNNNNNNNNNNNNNNNNNNNNNNNNNNNNNNNNNNNNNNNNNNNNNNNNNNNNNNNNNNNNNNNNNNNNNNNNNNNNNNNNNNNNNNNNNNNNNNNNNNNNNNNNNNNNNNNNNNNNNNNNNNNNNNNNNNNNNNNNNNNNNNNNNNNNNNNNNNNNNNNNNNNNNNNNNNNNNNNNNNNNNNNNNNNNNNNNNNNNNNNNNNNNNNNNNNNNNNNNNNNNNNNNNNNNNNNNNNNNNNNNNNNNNNNNNNNNNNNNNNNNNNNNNNNNNNNNNNNNNNNNNNNNNNNNNNNNNNNNNNNNNNNNNNNNNNNNNNNNNNNNNNNNNNNNNNNNNNNNNNNNNNNNNNNNNNNNNNNNNNNNNNNNNNNNNNNNNNNNNNNNNNNNNNNNNNNNNNNNNNNNNNNNNNNNNNNNNNNNNNNNNNNNNNNNNNNNNNNNNCAUACAUAUAUAUAUAUAUAUAUAGAGAGAGAGAGAGAGAAAGGGGGAGAGAGAGAGAGAGAGAGAGUUAGGUUCAAAUGUUUUCAACAAGUAUUGUGUGCAUGGAUGCACCAAUCACAAUUUAGCAAAUUAUUAAUUAAUUUAUUUAAUCCAUGAGGGUAAUUAUGUAAUCUUUCAUUUUAAUUCCUUAUUUAUUCUGAAUCUUAUCCCUUUAUAUUAGGCAAUGAUUUAUGAUUGAUUUAGUUAUCUUUAAUUUAAUUUUCUCUAUAUAAUCGAUUUUAACGUCUGAUCCACAAACACAGAUCACAAUUGUCGAUUCCAUAACCUGCCGAUCAAUUUGUGUUACACAUUCGAUGGAUGUUCAUACUGGAAAUCAAAACUAGGUAUUGCUACAUAUUUACCAGCAUCUGUCAACGAUAAUCCUGAUAUUGUUUCAAACGUCCCCCACACACCCUUUUACUGUUUUUAUAUAUACAUAUGUAUUAAAUCUGAUAAUCUUCCAGGAAAACGAUGAUCAAAAUCUCGGGAAGGAUUUGGGUAAUGUCAAUGAUCCCAAGAAUCCGGUGAAUCAAGUUGUGAAGAAAAUAAGAAGAUGUAAAACAUGCUUUGGAGUUGGUCAUGAUAGCAUGAAUUGUCCUUUUGGAUUGAAGAAAUCAUAGAACUACAAGAACUUCAUCAAAUUGGUCGUUUUUAGAUAUUAUUUAGUUUGAUUUCAGUAAAAUAAAAGUAUUUUUUGAUGAAUUAUAUGGUAUUAUCAAGUUUCAGUUCAGUGUAAUAAAGAUGUCGUUUGAUGAAUUCUAUGUGUCUUUCUUUAAUUAUUAUGGUUAAAAUUAAUAAGAUGUUCGUGUUUUCUGCUAUAUUUAUGUUUUAUAUGAUCAUAUAGUUUAUCAUUUCAACAAAAUAACAGAGCAGAACAUUAUAGUUCUCAUUCAAACAUAAUGUCAAAAAACAAUGUUCAUUAUACUUCAUUUUUAUUUUUUUGAUGUUUCAUAAAAUCAACACACAUAAUUUUCAAAACUUUGAAUUGUAAACAUUUUUGUUAGUUAUAUAUAUUUAUUAUUCUUACAUAAUGAUUUUCAAUGCGUGCAUUGAUUCGAGUUAACAAAAAUUGAUACGUUUUGUAAGUCAUAUUUGCUAGAGUAUUCUGAUAGAAUUAUUUCAUUUCGGUAACAUGCAGAGUUUUUUAUUGCAUAUUUAUAUAACAUUCUAAUAGAAUUAUUUCGUCAAUAAAAUAUUCUGCAACUUUUUUUUAAAAAAAAAUACAUAAUAAUAUUGUUAAGCAGUUAAUAUAAUAUAUUGUUGGAAUUUUUUAUAUUUGGAAUUUGAAUAUAGUACCGUAUGAAUAUUUUUUCCUUUAUCAUGUUUAAAAAAAAUCAAAUCGGAAUCAUUUAUGUUUAUCAAUGAUCCCUAAUAUCAAGGCUUUUAAUUUACAUAGAAUCCGUUUUCAUCCCUAUCUAGUUUGUAUGACAUUUUUAAAUAUUUUAAUUUUUCAACUUACAAAGCAUAUACAAACACUCUCGGAAUUUCUUAGCAAUGGGUGAUCAAGAACCAGAUGUCAAUAAUCAUAUUUAUGAGGAACAUUAUUUGGCUAGUGAUGAUGACAAUGGAAUUGAAGAUUUCGAUUUUCCUGAUAACGAUACACUAUAUAAUGACGGAUUUCAAACUGGAGAAAGCAGUAAUCCUAAUUUAGGUGAGUUUUUUGAUAUUUUGUUUAAUUUUUCAUUCUAUUUUAGAUUCUAUAUUGUAACAAACAUGUUUAAUGUUAAAUGUUAAUAUUUUCAUUGAUGAACAUACAGAGGAUGCAAAUAAUGAUGAAGACGAAAAUCACUUCGUUGAUGAAGAUAUAGAGGUUAAUAUUGAUUACAGUGAAGGUACUAAAUUCAAUUCAGGAUACUGAAGUUUUUACAGAAAAAAGUUAAUUCUUUGAGAAUAAUAUUUAUAUAAUUCUUUUAGAAUGAUUAUGUAUUUGCUAUUUUAAACAGGACAACCACAUGUUACUCAUGAAGAUAUAGAGUGUAAUAUUGAUUUCAGUGAAGGUACUAAAUUCAAUUCAGUAUAUUUUAAUUUUGAUAGAAAAAUAAAAUUGUGUCAGAAUAAAAUUUAUAUAAUUCUUUCAGAAUAAUUUUGUAUUUGCUAUGUUUAAGCAGGACAACCACAUGUUACUCAUGAUUAUGUUUCUCCUGGUGGCACCUUGUAUUGGACUCCGAUUGUUUUAGACGACAUCAAACCAAAAGUUUCAUCAAAAUUUAAUUCAUAUGGUGAAGCAGAAACAAUGUAUAGAAAAUAUGCAUUAGAAUCUGGUUUUGAUGUCAGGCUUGGAAGAGUCCAAAAAACGAAAAAUGGGAUUAUUACAAAUAGACAUCUUGUGUGCAAUCGGGAAGGAAAUCUGAAUACUAGUAAACUAGAUACUCUAGAUAUUCAGCAUAAAAAGACUCAAAGAAGGAAAGAUUUAUUUAGGAGGAAUUGUAAAGCGAAAGUUGUUUUAGAAAUAAUUCUCGGUACUCUUAGAUAUGUCGUGAGUGAUUUUGUAGAGCGACAUAAUCAUGAGUUGUUUAGCAAGGGCAAUAUGCACUUAUCUCGUUCAAAAACAAAACUUGAUUAUUCCCAAGAAAUUUUCAUUCAUAAUUUGUCAAAACAAGACAUUGGUCCUGUAAAAGCACAUAGACUGUAUAGUGCUCUUCAGGUUGGUCCUUCGGUUCGAGGUGGAUUGGUUACUGAUUUCAAGAAUGCUAGGAGGAAUCUUAAUUGUUACAUAGGUGGGAGGGACGCGAAAUUCCUUGUUGACAAGAUGAAUGAUAGGAAGAAAAAUGUCCCAUCAUUUACUUUUGAGUAUAAAGUGUCGAACAAGAGAUUGAAUUCUUUAUUCUGGGCUGACGAAACAGCAAAGUAUAAUUACAAUUCAUUCGGAGACGUUAUAUCACUCGAUGCCACAUUCAGCAUGAAUAAGUAUUUAUAACCUUUAAUACUUUUCAAUAAGAAUUUCAUUAUUUCCAGUUAUGUAAACUAAUAUUUUAUUUUUUAAAUAGGUAUGAUAUGGUUUUUGUUCCGUUUACUGGCAUUGAUAAUCACAAAAAAUGUGUAACAUUUGGUGCUGGUCUUUUAAGUAAAGAAGAUGGAGUUUCUUAUGAAUGGUUGCUUAGAGCUUUUUUGAAAGCUUUUAGAAAACAACCUCAAUUGGUUUUAUCUGAUCAAGAUCCAGCUUUGAAAAAAGCUAUAGAUAAGGUUUUCCCAUUGGCACAUCAUAGGUUAUGUAUGUGGCAUAUAACGAAGAAGUUGCCAAAUAAGGUAUGCAUAAAAAGAAUAUUAUUCUUAUUUUUUUGGUAUGAUUCUACAAUUAUUUUCUCAUAUUCUACCAGAAUGUUUUGUUUUAAACAGAAUCAAUUGCAUUAACUCUUAAUUUUUCUUAUCAUUCUUCAAUGAUUUUUUAAAAUUAUGCAUUCAUUAUCUCAUAUUCUACCAAAAUCAAUUCAUUCUAACAAAACCAGUGUCUUUAACUCUUACUUUUUGUUAUGAUUAUACAAUUAUAUCAUAUUCUGACAGAAUCAAUUAGUUUAACUCUUACUUUUGUUAUGGUUCUACAAUUAUUUUUUCAUAUUCUACCUUCAUGAUAUCAUAUUCUAACAGAAUGAAUUUAUACAGAUUUUAUCAAUUGAAGAUGCAACAACCAAUCAAAAAUUUCGAAAGCGUUUUCACUCUAUAAUUUGGAAUUCUAAGCUGGAACCACAUGAAUUCGAGAAUGUGUGGCGUCAGAUGUUGGAGGAGUUUAAAAUUACUGAUAACACUUGGAUGAAUACAAUGUAUGGAUUGCGAAAAUCUUGGAUCCCCGCAUUUUUCAAGCACAUUCCAAUGUCUGGUCUUAUGCGGACUACAUCGCUGUCUGAAAGUCAGAAUUGGUCAUUUCAAACCACGACACUAACCGGUUCUUAUCUUGUCAUGUUUAUGAUGACAUUUGAAUCAGUUAUGGAACGACAACGACAUAACCAAAUUCUCAAUGAUUUUAAUACUGCCACCACUUUUCCUAAAUUCAUUACCCGUACUCCGUAUGAACCUCAUGCUUCAAAUGUAUAUACACGAAAGAUUUUUUAUCAGGUUCAGAAGGAGAUAUCAAGAUCUGAAGAUAAUUGUUUCCAAAAGAAUGUGAUAUCUUCCAACGGUGUUGACACGAUUAUUGUUAUGGAGAAAAGAAAGAACAUAACUAUUAGGCAAACAAAUGAUGUCGAUGUUGAUGACAAAGAUGAGGAAUACAAUUACGAUUGUCUUAUAAGGGAUACUGAAUGCACGGUAUAUUUUUUUUCACAUUAAUUUUCAUUUUAUCAUUUGCAUUUAAACACUAAAAAUUUACAACUUAAUUAUUCUCACUAAUCAUCUUAUAUUUUCCAGGUCACACACUCAACCAAAGAUGGUUCGUUCAAAUGUACUUGUAUGCAUUUUGAACAUUUAGGUAUCUUAUGCAGACACAUAUUCUGUGUGUUUAAGUUUUAUGGCAUCAAACAAAUUCCUGAAAAGUACAUUUUGAAACGUUGGCGUAGGGAUGUCAUUCCAACAGAAUUACUGAAAAGACGUUUCACUAAUUCUUUCGCCGAUUCUACUUCCGACAUGACUGCUAUUGAUAUUUUUUCAAUUGUUGACCGUUGUGUGUCUUUUUGAGUCACGAUGCAGCAAAGUUAAAGUUAUACCUCGACGAACAGAAUAACUUGAAAAAAAAAUUCGUAGACGACUGUCCAAAUCAUGAUCUACCGACCAGAGCAGAUCAUUUCAAGCAGCUUUUAGGUGUGGUUGGUCCUGAUGUAGAAUCUGAUGUUAAUGACAUUCAGAAUCCUACAGAUAUUCGUAAUAAAGGCUGCGGUAGUCGUGGGAAAAGAUUAAAAUCUACAAAAGAGAUGAUAGAGAAGGAAAUCUCGAAACCUAAGAGAAAAUGUGCUACAUGUGAACAGAUGGUUCAUCAUGACAAAAGAAAUUGUCCUCUAAAGAAUGCCCAGAAAUAAGUUCCAUGUUUUUUUUUCGUUUUAUUAGAAUGACAUUUCAUUUAAUUUUCUCGAUUCACAUUCAUUGUUAUCUUUUAUGUCGUUCAAUAAAGUAUUCACUUUGAUUGCUAGUGAUGAUGACAUUGUCAAUCAACAUAACAAUAUUUAUCUUUUCUUAUUACUUAAAAAUAAUCAUAAAACGUAAUACAAAAAUUCAUUCCAUCGAUUGUAUAAAUUCAUUAUUUUCAAAAAUGUUAAUACAAAAUUUCCAUCGAUUGUAUAAUUAUUAACAACAACCUUGAAGUAUAUUUUUAAAAACUUUAUAACCUCUGAUACACAAACACAACCUUCAUAUGAAAAUUAAUAUUGCAUUAUAUGAAAACUACAUUACUAACAACAACCUUUGAUUUUCACAAUGCACAACAUCAUCAUCCCAUAAUUUAAACAAGGCAUCAACACACCCUUUAUAUGAAAAUUAACAUUCCAUUAUAAGAUAUAAGCUUAAAUACUGAUAACAUUACUUCAUAACUUCUGAUAGACGUACUACUUUUUCAAACAUCUAACAUAAGGCAGAGUCAUGUUUCAACACCCAAAAAAACAAGUUCAGCUCAUGACAUAUCAAAGUUUAUCUUACAACUUAUUAAAUACCACUCCAAAUUCUUACCUACAACCCUUUGUUUUUCUUUUUUUCUUCCUGUUUUCAGCUGACUCUCUUAGAAGCAUAUCUUGUUCCAAAAUAUCAAGCUUAUGAAAUGCUUCAAAAUCUUUAACUAUCAUAGUCUUGAACUUAUUGAAAUCAAAUGCCAACAAUCUUGCCGUGUAUUUCGUCCUUAACUUAAUUGUAGCAGUCACAUCAGCAGGCAUUUUACCUGUAAGACCACACUCCCAAAGCCCUUCAUUUUCCCCCAUGUAAGUUUCCAUAUGCCUCAUGAGGUAUAUUCCACAUUCUGUUCCAGCUUUUUCGACUAGCUAGGAUAUGUUCAUCACCCGUCCCGCUUUAAAAGUUAACGUUUUUGCCAUUGGAUGAUGUUGUGAUAUCAAGUAGUUGCAAAACAGUUUUUUCUGUCAUUAAAUAGAACAAAUACAUCAAACAUACUCUUAUAAUAUUCCUUAGAAUGGAAAACUAUUGAUCAGAAAUUUAUUGAUUAUCUUACCACCAGGUUUGGUAUCAUGCCAUACUUUCAUUCCAAAGUUCCUGUUCUCUUCACAUGAUCUACUAUAUAGUACAAACUUGAUCUCAGAUCAAAGAUGAGUAAGUAAUACUUUCCAUCAUCAACUAUUGGGAAGAAAACCUUGUACCCAUUAUAAGAAGAUGUUAAGUUAAUAUUAAUUGAUGCCGCAAAUAUUAUAUUGAUAAAAUAAACUUACAAGUGCAACAUCUCUAAAACUUGGCUUCACAUUUGUUGUUCUUCAGCUCCUGUUUCAUCGCCCAUAUCGACAUCAUCAUGCUCAUCCCGAAACUGCCUCCCGAACCCUCCCAAACUGAUUUCCAAUCGUUGAAUCUCUAAUAAUUUAGCACCGUUUAUAUGCCCAAUAGAAGGAAGCCUUUGUCUAUCUUGAUAGAAUACUUCAUGUUAUACACGUACACCAACUGAAAAAAAAAACAUUAACUUAAUCAAUACAUCAAUAAUAAAUCGAUACGAAAUAUAUAUUUUCAUAUAAAACUAUUUCAAACUUACAAUUAGAAGUGUAAUAGGACCACUGUAGUAGCUUGAUUUGUCAUCCCUUUUCCAUAGUUUUUUUUUCUAGAUCCCAAACAAUCAAGCAUAUAUUUACACCAAUUUAACUUUGAAAAGUCUUCUACCAACACCAACUUCCUUACCACUUUUAUUUGAUUUGUUCCCAUCAACAUUGACUCGAUGAAGUUGUUAACAAAAAGGGUCAAAAAAUUCAGCCUAAACAUCAAACUAUCCUUUGUUGUAGCCUGAAUCCUUCUUAAAUACUCCUCACCAUUGAACUUAUCACAACUAUAUUGUCCCCUCCAUUCUUCUAGAAUUUGAUUUCCCUUAUCACACAAUGGUAACUCAUUGAUGUCUUCUCCACCAAAUGGCAACCCCAUCAUAUCAUGCACUGUUUGUUCUGUUAUCUCAAUAACAGAGUUUUGUAGGACAAGUCUUUUACUAUCUACAUCAUAAACAUCUAAAAGAUAGUAGCUUAAUUGUCCCGGAUAACUUGUAAUAUUCACUUGUAGAAUUGAUCCAAAACCCAUUCUCAAGAUUGCUUGUUUCUGUUCGGCUGACAUUCUCAUAACAGCUGCAGUGAUGUUAUCACAUUUCAUUCUUGUUGGAAGGUAUCUUAAACCAGGUGGGUAUUCCUUAUUUAUUUUUCUAACAUUAUCUUCUCUUUCCUCUUUGACAGAUUCAGCAAUUCCCUUAUUCUUUAAAUGUUUUACAAUUGGAUCUCUAUCAAAUUGCCUCUUCGACCUUAUCUCUUUUUCCAAAAGUAGUGCAUUUAAAGGUUUAGGACUUGUCUUUCGUUCAACUGAUUUAUGAAGUUUUUUCUUUGACCUUCUUUCUCGGUUCACAUGUUCUUCUUCCUGAAUUUGUUCUGAUACAACACACAAUAGAUAGUAUAAUGUUUAGUAUUAGAUAAUUUGGGAUUAAUGUUUUAUAAUAUAAGAUAUUCCUUAUAUUAUAACAGAUUAAAAAUUUAUUUCUAUAACAAAACCAUCAUACACACAAAAUACCGAUUCAAACAGAAUAAAACAUUAAAAUCACACAAAUAUAUUAAAAUAUAAUAAAUUCUAACAGAAUAUAAAAAUAAACUACAAAAACAUCAUAAAUUUUAUUUUAAAACAUAACCCACUACAUAUUAAAAUACUUAUUUUCAUACACAUUACAGUAUGCAACUAAAUUAUUCUACAACAAUCAACUACUGUUAAUUUAGAAUUAUACCAUAAUCAUAUUCACACUCAUAUGCAACAUUACAUUCUUUUAGAAUAUUACACACGUAAUCUUUUCCAAUAUAUAAGAUUAUGAUUGUUUCAGUUUAAUUCAUUAAUCAUCUACAAACUUUGAUUAAUUAGAAUUCUACAAGAAUCAAAUACAUUUAAUUUAGAAUUCUAUCAGACUCAUACAAUCGAAUUUCACACUCAUAUAUAAUAUUACAUUCUAUUAGAAUGUUAACUAGUAAAACAAGUAGACUUAUGCUAGCAGAAUAUCAACCAUGUUCAGGUUCAUAUACACAAAACAUUCUAUUAGAAUAUGAAACAUGUAAACUUAUUCCACAUCCAAGAACUAUGAUUUUUUCAGUUUAAGUCAUUAAUCAUCUACAAACUGUGAUUCCAUUACAAUUAAAAAUCUGUAUAAAAUACUAAUUAACUACUUCAAUAUAGAAAUUUAGCUUACAAUGUUAACUAGUAAAACAAGUAGACUUAUGCUAGCAGAAUAUCAACCAUGUUCAGGUUCAUAUACACAAAAAUUUCUAGUAGAAUAUGAAACAUGUAAACUUAUUCCACAUACAAGAACUAUCAUUUUUUCAAAUUAAGUCAUUAAUCAUCUACAAACUGUGAUUCCAUUAGAAUUAAAAAUCUGUAUACAAUGCUAAUUAACUACUUCAGUAUAGAAAUUUAGCUUACAAUGUUAACUAGUAAAACAAGUAGACUUAUGUUAUCAGAAUAUCAACCAUGUCCAGGUUCUUAUACACAGAAUAUUCUAUUAGAAUAUGAAACAUGUAUACUUAUUCCACAUACAAGAACUAUCAUUUUUUCAGUUUAAUAUGCUAAUUAACUACUUAAAUAUAGAAAUUUAGCUUACAAUUUUAACUAGUAAAACAAGUACACUGAUUUUACCAAAAUAUCAACAAUGUUUAGGUUCAUAUACAUAGAACAUUCUAUUAGAAUUUAAAACCUGUAUAAAAUGUUUAGGUUCAUAUCAACAAUCACUACGAUUUUUUCAGUUUACGUCAUUAAUCAUAUACAAACUGUGGUUCCAUUAGAAUUUAAAACCUAUAUAAAAUGCUAACUAACUACUUAAAUAAAGUAAUUUAGUUUACAAUUUUAACCAGUAAAACAUGUAGAUUUAUUCUAGCAGAAUAACAACCAUGGUCAUGUUCAUAUAAACAGAACAUUCUGGCAGAAUAACAUACACAGUAAUGAUUCUUAAGAAAAUACGAAAAAAUGACACAUUUUUUUUUUCAGACCACAAAUCAUACAUGCAUAAAUGAUUUCAAAUACACUUCCUAAAUUCUACUACAUUUUUCGAACUAAAUAAACAUUAAAUACCACAAAAAAUUGUUACCUUCAGGUUCAGCAACGAAAUCAUCAUUGUUGUCUUCAAGAUUCAACGCCGUUUCUACUGUAUUCUUGAACUUUGACUUGAAUGAACUGGAUCAUGUACUCCUCAUUGUUGCAGAACACCGUUAAUAUAAGCCCCCAAAUGUCGAUUCCGUCUUCUAGGGUUAAAUGUCGAUAUUUAGAAGAAAAACCUUCAAACGAUCUUCCGAUUUUGAAGACUGAUUACAAUAAAUCAGAAUGUUUUUCAACCUCCUAAGGAUUUGGGUUCUUGAUUUUGUGAGUAUGCGAGAUAUUUGGGAUUAUCGGUUGAUCAUUCCAUAUUAUCCACUGUUUCCUAAUUAAAUGACGGGGCAAAAUACCAUUCUAUCCUUGUUUGACCGGUCAAUUGAUUAAAGCCCAUUUAUUUGAUUUUUUUCUAUUUAAUUUAAAAAGAAUAUCACUUACUUAAAUUACCACAAAUGAUUGGCCUACAAUCAUUUACAUAGGCACACAAUACUUAACAAAAACAAAAUAACCUAACCCUAUAUAUAUAUAUAUAUAUAUAUAUANNNNNNNNNNNNNNNNNNNNNNNNNNNNNNNNNNNNNNNNNNNNNNNNNNNNNNNNNNNNNNNNNNNNNNNNNNNNNNNNNNNNNNNNNNNNNNNNNNNNNNNNNNNNNNNNNNNNNNNNNNNNNNNNNNNNNNNNNNNNNNNNNNNNNNNNNNNNNNNNNNNNNNNNNNNNNNNNNNNNNNNNNNNNNNNNNNNNNNNNNNNNNNNNNNNNNNNNNNNNNNNNNNNNNNNNNNNNNNNNNNNNNNNNNNNNNNNNNNNNNNNNNNNNNNNNNNNNNNNNNNNNNNNNNNNNNNNNNNNNNNNNNNNNNNNNNNNNNNNNNNNNNNNNNNNNNNNNNNNNNNNNNNNNNNNNNNNNNNNNNNNNNNNNNNNNNNNNNNNNNNNNNNNNNNNNNNNNNNNNNNNNNNNNNNNNNNNNNNNNNNNNNNNNNNNNNNNNNNNNNNNNNNNNNNNNNNNNNNNNNNNNNNNNNNNNNNNNAUAUAUAUAUAUAACCACAUUAAAAAUUAAACAGUAGACGGAUGUAGUAUAGGGACCAAAAAUUGUAAUUUACUCCUGUGCCACAAUAAAUUCUUCGAAAUAAGAUCGGAUAUUUUAAGAGUUGGCCCCAUGUCUUCCGGAUGUGAAAAGAAGUUACUAGAUGCUCCUAGUUUCCUUUUCUCUUCCCCGUUCUUUCCAGAACUAUCUUCCUCUUCCACCUCUCCACGUUCCUCUCUACCGUAUAAAUCCUCUAUCGAAAUGCUCUCUUCGUCAUUCCUCAGUAACAGAAGUUCUCGAUUCAUACUUGUAGUGUUCAAUCGCGCUAGGAUAUUCGAAUCAGAUCAUCAACAGAAAUCAAAAUGGAUAUCAGUCUGAUGGGUUUCGACACGCCGUUUUUUCGCCACCUCCAUCACAUCCUCGACGCCAACGAAGACAACAACACCAACAGCAAAUCAAGCAAUGCCGGACCUACUCGCGCUUACGUACGUGACGCCAGAGCAAUGGCUGCAACUCCGGCCGAUGUGAAGGAGUAUCCCAACUCUUACGUCUUCAUCGUCGACAUGCCGGGUUUGAAGUCCGGAGAUAUCAAGGUCCAGGUGGAGGAAGACAACGUGCUU